rnacentral:lncRNA from 1 species
AUGCUUUGCAUUUACUUUCUUGGACCGUGUACUCUACAUCGGCAAACAAAUUGGCAACACACUCCAUCAAUCGAUUCAGUUUUCAGUAUUUGGCUGAUGCCAUUGCACAUGGGAAAAUGUUUGGCAAGUACGGCAGCAAGUGCAGUAGAUACAAUUGAAAUGUUGCCGAGAAGUCGAAUAAUCUGUUGCUAAAAUACAGAGUAAUAAUUGUUCAUAUAGUCUACACAUGCAUACGAGGUAAUCUCACCAUUUCUACACAAGAGGUGAGCUCAACCAAAUCCAUCCCUCAAACCAAACACUGACCAAGCACACAAACGGAACCAACCUGUUCCAGCGGCGUGGAACCAUGACCAUUCUAUUACACUUCCUUCCCCAACCAAACACGACCCCAAGAAUCUCGCCUCCCGUCAUCGGCAGUAGUCUUACGUGCUAGAGCAACAGAACCGCUGGCAGCGACCCAUCAGAAUAAUCACUGCGAGUGAUUAUAGUGACAUGGACAGCUUCAACAGCCAACCUGCAAAGGAGCAGUGUAAGGUUUGUUAACAAUCAUGGACUGUGGCCAACUGAGAAUAACAUAUCCGCAAAAUGUCCAUGUGGGCAAAAUAUAUGCUAACCGCAUCUUCCAGUUCAAGGCUACAAGAAAGAUAUAAACAUCUGCUUGUACACAUAAUUCAAUGUACUCAUGAACCAGAAGCAGUUUAGAGCGAUAUCACAAGGUUCAUUUAUUUCUAUGAAUAAGAGAACGUAGAUUUAAGGGGCAAAGGACAAAAUUGCCCAGGAUUUAGAAAUACUAAGAAGUAAGAACAACGAGGUACCAACUGCACUAAAGUCUCAAAUGUACAGUUGCUCUAAAAAAAGAUUCAAGUUAUCUCUAAGAUUCAACUGCCUCUUUUUGUCGGAAUAGCUUAAAAACGUUAAUAUAGUAACUAAUGAAGCCCAAAAAACUGAGAAUCAACACGGACCAAAUUGUCAACAGGCUUCCUAAUUCUAACUUCUAAAGCGUAGACCAAUAAAAAGAUAUGGAAUACGACCAGGAGAACCUACAUCUAUCGGCACACCUAGUAUACCCUGUAACCAAUGACAGGCAAAUAAUUUUCAUAAUCUCAAGGCCCAGGUGAAAGGGCAGUAGCACAGGUCAUCACCAGUUCAUAUAAACAAACAGAAAAUGGAAGGGAACAAAAAUGGCUGGCAUGCACCAUGUAUUGUACACAUGUACCUGACAUCUUUUGGAUACUAAAUAACCCAAAGUGCACAGAGCAGACACCGAAGUGCUUCAGCUACUCAGUAAGACCUUGUUGAGAUAACAAGUCUUGCCCAAAUCUUGCAAAGACCCAAAGCUCAUGAAGUGCUUGUUAACAUCAUCCUAUGGUCACUGGCCAAGGUUCAUCUGCGAGUAUCUGUAACAAGAUAUGACAUGAUAUCAACACACAGUGCUAUUAUGAGAAAGCAUACAGUGGACGGAAUGGAUAUGUCUUUUAACAAUACCGGCGAGGUUUAUUUUGGCGUUGACUAGGCUCAUCAUUUACAACUUCUGCAAAAGGAGCAAAUGUGUCAAAACAUUCCUAGUUUUCUAGGAUCACAAAAGAGAGCAGAAACUUCUAAUAUAUCUGAAAUUAAACACAGGUAAAAUAAUAAGGUAGAGAUACGAUAUUGAAAAGGGAACCAAGCUGUUUUACCUGUUAUUUGUGGGGGCUUCAACUGAGACGGCGCAUUACUUGCACUAAGUUCUCUGUAGAGCAGCAAAAAACAGAAAACCAGAAUUAUUCACCCUUGUUUCAUUCAAUGAAGUUUGAUAGUGACAGAGAAAAAGUUUUAACAUAUAAUGAGAUCCAACUGGUCAGUCAGUACUAUUCGAAGACAAAGCAAGCAGGCACAUUGGUGGGGUAAAUUGACAUAAUGGAAGUCCUAAGGCCAACUAAGUUGCUUAAAAAAUAAAGCAUAGUUUAUUACUGUUGUGAACAUGCUGGUGACAUUUGUAGCUUUUGCUGUCAAGCUUUAACCCUGUCGCAAAACUAGUAGAACUGUUGUUCUAUGCAAGAAGAGGAUGAACUCAUAAUUAAACUGAUGUAACUCAUCUCAAAAGUAUAUACAACUACAGCUGCAAUAUAAGAACUCUAAAAGCCCUGCAAUGCAUCAUGUUAUAGUACUGGACUGACAUACCUAGGAUUAACUGAAGAAGAUGCCUGCUCAGAAGGUCGGGAAUAAUAGCUGCCAUCCAUGGCAAAAUAAGGUGAGCCAUAAGUUGCUCCUAAACCUCCAGCGGAACCGGACAAUAUUGGCAGCCUGAUUUCAGUCAGAUGCGCCCAAACAAAUUAUUAGACAAGCUAAUUAUGAAUGCCAUAUUCAUAUUCAAAUAAAUAAAUGCUACAUCAAUAAGCCAGACAACAGUAGUGCACCACCAUCGUACUAGACUGAGAUGCAGAAAAAAAAAGGAUAAUUAACUCCUUACCAAGCCAUCUCAGAAUUGCUGACGCCAUGUUGUUGCUGAGACACAAAUCCUGGUAAAGCCAUACCGAUUGAAGGAACACCAGGCACACCUGGAUGCUGGCCUCCAAACUGCAUAACUGUAUGAUAGAAAACAGUUACAACUUUACUAGUAUCAUUAAUUACUUAUUUUUCAUACAUAUUAUCAUUAAGUACUCAUUUUAUUAAAUUGUAAUUUCACAGUGUAAACUUACAAACCUGGAAAGAGUGCUGGGGUUCCAUGGAAACCUUUGUCACCAAGUGAAAGGCCUCCUGUAGCUCCCAGAACAUGACCUCCACCAUAGGGAAAAGAAGCACGCUCUUCUCCCUGGUCACCAGGUUGCCCCUUCACCGUCAAUCGAGUAACAGCUUCGUUUGAUCCAUCAGGUGAAGAAACACCAGUGUCUUCAGUCAAAGCUGUAGACGUAGGUUGUGUGAAAGAUGGCAUUCGACCACUACUACCAAAUUGUGCACCCAACAUCUGGGUUGGCAUCCUUAGUGUGGAUUGGGUAUUUGAUGAUGAUGGAGAUGACUGUAUAUUUGUGCCCUUCGGUACGAAAGCCUUCCCUCUCAACAGGGGGGCAUUUUGUGGGGUUGGAGAAACAUGUACCAUACCAAUGGGGGGUGAGAAGGGUCUACUAGUGGUACUAGGUUGUGCAUUCCCCCUUUGACCAAUCAGUUCCUGGUGGGACGGCCUUGAAGGGUAAAAAGGCGGCGAGGCUGAAUUCAAGUUUGAUGCAAAGGAUUGCUUAUUAGGAAAACCUUGCUCAGGCCGAGAAUUUGAAUUCUGAGGCUGGUGUUUCCCCAAAUUUGCAUUUGACAAAGCAUUUUCAGGUUUCUGUGAUCUGAAAUAUGAUUGAAAAACAAGCAUGCUACUGUUAGUUCUCUAUCAAAACAAAUGUGCAAAGAUUGAAUAAAAAUAAAACUUCCACUCACUUAUCAUUUUGCUCUGAAGAUAUCUCAUUGGUACUGCGACGUGGUUGGUAACGUCUAGAGCCUCUGCCAUGAAUUACGCUUGGUGUGGCCUUACGACUUCUGGAACCGUCAUUGUAAGUGUAAGAUUCUUUUGGAACCACAUCAAAAUUAUCAACAUCAUCAUUGCGAGCAUGAGACGAUUUAGGAGCUCUGUUCUUCCUGUGCUCGCGCAGGACUGGUACAGCAUUUUUUGUAUUAUCAAGGGAAACUAGAGAUCCCUUUGGAACAUAGCUGUAGUUCUGGUUACCAUCAGGAUUAUGCGCUCGAGACCUGUUGCCUCUGAAAUUACCACGGCCAACACCACGAGUCCUGCCGCCAGGUCCACCAACACGCCCUCCAGAGCGGCCCCUUGAAUUUCUCAUCUGAAAGCACAAUUGACAAAAAAAAAGCAUAUUGGUAAGGAAACAUGCAUCAGCAGUUCAAUGCAUAGUAGAAAAUAAGAAAGCAUAGUAGUCAGUUACUCACAUUGCCAUUAUGAUACCCACGUGGAUGCAUCUCAUCAAAUCUGUCAUGGACCCAAGCUUCCUCCUCUUUAGGAUUCCACAAGUUCCUAUUACUCAGUGUUCUCCUAAAUUGAGAAUAUGGAUAGAUUAGAAAGCAGUUGAAACCUGGAUAAUGUAAUCAUAAUACAGAUUAAGCAUCAUUAGGCCUUGUACAAUGCAAGGUGCUUAGAGAAAUAAACCAGGUUUUUCUUAAGCACCGGUGUUUAUUUGUACAGGGUAGAUGCUUACUUAGGCGUCUCUCCUGUAGAAAUAGGCACUGGUGCUUCAGAAAAACCCGGNNNNNNNNNNNNNNNNNNNNNNNNNNNNNNNNNNNNNNNNNNNNNNNNNNNNNNNNNNNNNNNNNNNNNNNNNNNNNNNNNNNNNNNNNNNNNNNNNNNNNNNNNNNNNNNNNNNNNNNNNNNNNNNNNNNNNNNNNNNNNNNNNNNNNNNNNNNNNNNNNGGGGGGGUAUGUUUUUUAUGAAGGCGCGGUUGAGAGCCUCCAAUUUCAUUUAAAUAAAGAAGUAAGGACUACAUAAGUUAUGGUAAUACAACACACUCCAGGGUAAAAGAGAAGAAAAAGGCGCUUCCACACUUUCCAGGUCCCUACACAGGUGAGACAGACAAACUUACAAAGCUACAUGGGAAAACCUCUAUUUUUGCGUAUGCAUCUUGAUCUUGUGAAUAAAUUUAUUAAUUUACUAGUUAACAGGAUUUCAUGUGUGUACCAACUAGUUGCGUGAAAUUGUGUGAUUCAGUAACGCAUACACUUGUUCAUACGCUUGGGCAUGUCUCUUUUGGUUGACAUCACUAGCUAAACUACACCCAAUUUGGAGAGGUCUGUACUUUCUAAGAUGACUGUCAAAUCCCUUGUGCACAAAACAUCACCAGUUUGAUUCAACUGUUAUACAUUAAAUGCAUUCACACAUUAUGUUUUAGGUUGAUGCUUUCCUGCUACUGUCUAUUGGCAAUUCUGCAUCAUUUGUAUUCAUCAGUGUUUUUGGUAUAAUGCAACAUUAGAUUAUCAGUGUGUCCAUGAUGAAACUGGUGGCAGGGGCAAUAUAUAGUGGUAUUUGCACAGAAUGCUACUGGUACAGUCUAGUAAAGUGUGUUUCAGCAGAGAGAGGUUAGAACCUGUGGCCUGUGGGGUUGCAGGUUAUGCUGGUGGCAGGGGCAAUAUCUAGUGGUAUUUGCACAGAAUGCUACUGGUACAGCCUAGUAAAGUGUGUUUCAGCUCGGUACUGCAAUUCUUGUUGAAAGACUUCGGGUACAGAACAGCCUAGUAAAGUGUGUUUCAGCUCGGUACUGCAAUUCUAGUUGAAUGAAUUCAAUUGACUAGGACCAGAAUUCAAGUCCCUAGAUUCCCUAUUCAAUUCUAAAUAUACUUAUAGAAACAUAAGCACCCUGUAUACUCUUAAGUUUGUUGUCUUCAUGUUUCCAUAUGCAACAAUCAACUAUUAUAUGCAACAAACAACUGUCAGUAUUUAGGGCAACAGACCACAUUUCAAUUACUAGUUUCCUGGUAUCAGUGUUUGGUCUCUUCUUAUCUUUCAACACUAGUAACCAUGAUAAGUUUUUUGUACAUAUAUUUACAGCACUAGUAACCAUGAUACGUUUUUGUGGAAACUUGGGUGAAACUAAUCAAACAUAAAUCCCUGCAAGCUUAAACUUUAUGAAACUAAUGCUUACUUUGUGGUUGCUAAAUUGUGUUGUGUAGACAUUAGCCGCGAAAGUAAAUUGCACGAAAUCUAGUUAGGCAAACAGGAUUGUUGUAGUUCAUCGCAAUGCUGGUUUAAUAAGCAGAAGCAGGUUGAGUCGUAAUUCAGCACAAUGCAAACACAGCCUAAGUCGACUAAUUAGCAAUUGGGCUACAUCCUAAGUCGCCGAGUCAUUCAAUGGCCAAAAAGUAAAGCGGUAUUCAAUCUGAAGAUGGAAAGGCGAGUACCUUCCGCGACCGCGGCCGCCGCGGGACUCCUGGAAGCGGUCGUCGUGCAUGUAGAAAGCGCCCGCCGUCGGCACGGCAAAGGGCUCGCUCUCCUUCUUCCCCUCCUCCCCCUCCUCUCCCGCCGCCGCCGCCGCUGUCGCCGCUUCACCUCCCUCCUCGGCCCCCUCCGCCGCCGCUCUCGGCGCGGCAACCGCCUGGGCGGCCGCCCCGCCCCGCCCCUGCUCGAAAUCCUCGUACACCUCCUCGUACUCCUCAUACUCCUCCUCGUACUCCUCGCCGUACUCCUCGGCGGCGCCCUGCCCGUCGGACUCCGCACCGGAUCCGGCCCCCCUCCGCGGCGCGGGCAACCCCGCGUCCUCCUCAUCCUCCUCCUCUUCCUCGUCGCUCGCCGCGGCCCGGCGCCUCACCGCCGGGAGGGGCGCGUCGUCGAGGUCGCUCUCGUACUCCUCCUCAAGUUCCUGCUGCUCCUCCCCCUCCCGCACGGCCUCCGCCUUCUCCUCCUCCCUGUCGGCCAUUGGCGCCGCGAGCCGGGAGACAGCGGGGCGGAUCGGAGCGGCCGGGCAGGGGAAUUAGGGUUCGGCGGCGGCGGAAUUCGACGGAAUCUAGAAGCUUCCCGUGGCCGUGUGCGUCUCUCUGGUCUGCGUGUGGACGGGGGCAGGAGGGGGAGGGUGGAUGAGAUUUAAGAAGGGGAAAAACUGUCGCCGUUUGGUGACGCCAUCGGACACGCACCGGCACCGGGCCGGCGGGCCGUGUCCAAAUCCUGCGGCGGUUGAGUUGGAGUCUGACGACAACCGUGCGUGACGCUGACGCGGCUGGCCCGCACGCCCGGUUUUGGGCGCUCUGUCGGACGGUGACGUACGCCGUGCGGUCAUGGAGCUUACGGGGAUUUUUUCUUGGCAUUGACCAAACGUAGGUUCUUUUUCUUUCCUUUCCACUGUUUGGAAUGGAUAAAGCAGGAGGUCAACUAUGGCUCUUGCCUUUUGGUGAGGUUAAUCUUGAUCAUUGUUAUAUAGCUAGAGCGCAAAAGGAAAGAUACUCGAGGUAACAUGGCAGGUUUUUUUCCUAGGGAAAGGGAGUUUUAUUUCACUGUAACGGGGUUACAGUAAAAUGGCAAAAGUUCCUCAUACAAGGUGGACCUCUAUGCAUCCAUACAGCGGUAGUGGAAUCUGUAUGACUGCAAUUCGUCAAUCGGUCAGCAACCUUAUUUUGUUGUAAGCUUAUGGGGAAUGAACUCCUUGGCCCCCCAUGAGUGUUUUAAUUUCUGCAGCAAGAUGUUCAUGGACGAAACGAGUAAGCAUACUCCCGGACAUGACAGAUAGUGGCACGAAAGAAUCAGACUGAACCACCACGGUUUUGUAUGUAUGUUGUAUGCCCAGUGCCAUACCUUUGCAUCAACGCAUGAAUUACGUCCUCUAACGCUUCAUUGCAAUAGAAAAAAAUGAUAUGCUGAAAAAAUCAUUGAUCCGUCCCGAUUCCUCAGUACCAUACUAGCCGCUGCGCUGCCAUCUACCGGCGAGAAUGAUCCAUUGGUAAAAAGUGCCACCCAACCCGUCGGAGAGCUAGGCCAAGGUAGUGCUUGCACCGCCAACAUUGCAUGUGAUAUAGGUGUGACAUCGACCCUGAAAGUACAUGUGGUGCCCCCAUAUUUGGUUUUGGUAAUUGAUGACAUUCUCUAUGGACUAAUGGUUGCUUUGAGUUAUAUUUGAAGAAUUUGUCCAUAGGAAUUUCUUGAAGUCUAUGUGUUGGUUUCAAGGAGUUUAUGUGUUGACCAAUGUGUUAUUCAAUGAAUUAUAUAAAGAUUAGUCAUGAUACAUGGUUGAUCAAGACUAAGUCAAAAGUGAAUCAAGUUGAUCAACACACAAAGCGUACAAGAUGUACCGAGAGGGAUCAAGUGAUCCCAUGGUAUGGUAAGCAUUGUCCAUUACGCUUUGUGUACUAACCCAUGGUCUACAUGAGAUUUCUAUGUGGCACUACAAAAAAAUACACUUCCAUGAUGAUACGUGUUUGUCACAGUAGGUCCCGUUUUUUGUCAUGCAUGUACAUCCAUGACGAUUUUAUGACAGAAUCAAGAUAGUCAUACAUAUGCUGUCGUAGAAGUGUUCCAUGAUAUUACCAAAAUUAUCAUCACGAAAGUGUCCAACUUCCAUGACGAUAAAUCGCGCGUAAUAGAAGUGCUUUCGUCAAGGGUGACCGACAAGUGGCAUCCACCGUAACGGGACACUGUUAAGCUAUCGGGUCCGGUUUUGGAUCCGAUAACCCGCUAACAGCCACGACCAAUGGGGAUUUUCCACGUGUAAAAUUCUCAUUGGCCGGAGGAAACACGUGUUGCCUCAUCGAUGGGACAGAUGUUAUCCACUCAUUGGACAGGAGCCGCCUAUGAUGCGUAUACACGUGGCACGGCCCAACAGAGGCCCAUUCCGAUGAAAAGGUCGGGCCUGUCAAAAUAAGCGGGUCGGCCCAUUAGUGGCCUACUUGAGUCAGACCCAUUUACAAGUACGACCCAUACAAGUUAUACAAAAUCGGCCCAUCAAAGGCCCAUUCUAGAUUCUACAAUUUCCAGCCCAUCGUCAGUUUAAGCCCGUUAAUGGCCUGCUACGUUUUUGGGUCCAAUUGCGGCUCGAGCUUCUUUCUGCCCAUUAGCAGCCCAUCGUCAGUUCCAGCCCGUUAACAGCCUGGAACGUCUUUUGGCCUUUUCUUGGCCCAUUCUGCAGUUGGGCCAAUUCUAGCCCGCUAUGACUUUAGGCCUGUCUUCGGCCCAUUCGGUAAAUGGGCCAACUCUUAGCCCAUUUUGUCCCUCGGCCUGUUAACGGCCCACACAAUAGUUGGGCCUUUGACUUUAGGUCCAUUACCAAAAAGAGACUCAAAGUAACAUUGUCCUUGCCAUGUCAGAAAAAAAACAUUGUCGGGUUUUUUCCUAGGGCAAAGGAGUUUUAUAUUCCAUUAAAAUGGGGUUACAGUCAAAAGGCAAAAGUUCCUCUAUACAAGGCGGACAUCUAUGCAUCCAUACAGCGGGAGUAGACUCUGUACGACCGUAAUUUGUCAGCAGACCAGCGACACUAUUUUGUUCCCUGACCUCCAUGAACAUUUUAAUUUCUGCAGCAAGAUGUCCAUGUGCGGAACGAGUAAGCACAUUCUCAGACAGGAUAGAUAGUGACUCAAAAGAAUCAGACUGAACCAGCACAGGUUUGUCUAUAUGUUGUAUGGCUAGUGCCAUACCUUGGAUCAACUCAUGAAUCAUGGCCUCCAACGCUUCAUUACAGUGGAACAAGAAACGAUAUGCCGAAAGACCAUUGAUCUAUCGUGCUUCUUUAGUAUCAUACCAGCCGCAACGCUACCAUCUACCGGCGAGAGUGAUCCAUCGACAGAAAUGAAGGAAAUAUGCCCUAGAGGCAAUAAUAAAGUUAUUAUUUAUUUCCUUAUAUCAUGAUAAAUGUUUAUUAUUCAUGCUAGAAUUGUAUUAACCGGAAACAUGAUACAUGUGUGAAUACAUAGACAAACAUAUAGUCACUAGUAUGCCUCUACUUGACUAGCUCAUUAAUCAAAGAUGGUUAUGUUUCCUAACCAUAGACAUGUGUUGUCAUUUGAUUAAUGGGAUCACAUCAUUAGGAGAAUGAUGUGAUUGACAUGAUCCAUUCCGUUAGCCUAGCACUUGAUCGUUUAGUAUAUUGCUAUUGCUUUCUUCAUGACUUAUACAUGUUCCUGUAACUAUGAGAUUAUGCAACUCCCGUUUAUCGGAGGAACACUUUGGGUGCUACCAAACGUCACAACGUAACUGGGUGAUUAUAAAGGAGUACUACAGGUGUCUCCAAAGGUACAUGUUGGGUUGGCGUAUUUCGAGAUUAGGUUUUGUCACUCCGAUUGUCGGAGAGGUAUCUCUGGGCCCUCUCGGUAAUGCACAUCACUAUAAGCCUUGCAAGCAAUGUAGCUAAUGAGUUAGUUACGAAAUGAUGCAUUACGUAACGAGUAAAGAGACUUGCCGGUAAUGAGAUUGAACUAGGUAUUAGAUACCGACGAUCGAAUCUCGGGCAAGUAACAUACCGAUGACAAAGGGAACAAAGUAUGUUGUUAUGCGGUUUGACCAAUAAAGAUCUUCAUAGAAUAUGUAGGAGCCAAUAUGGGCAUCCAGGUUCCGCUAUUGGCUAUUGACUAAGAAUAGUUCUAGGUCAUGUCUACAUAGUUCUCGAACCCGUAGGGUCCGCACGCUUAAGGUUUCGAUGACAGUUAUAUUAUGAGUUUAUGAAUUUUGAUGUACCGAAGGAGUUCGGAGUCCCGGAUGAGAUCGGGGACAUGACAAGGAGUCUCGAAAUGGUCGAGACGUAAAGAUCGAUAUAUUGGACGACUAUAUUCGGAGUUCGGAAAGGUUCCGAGUGAUUCGGGUAUUUUUCGGAGUACCGGAGAGUUACGGGAAUUCGCCGGGGAGUAUAUGGGCCUUAUUGGGCCAUACGGUAAUAGAGGAGAGAGGCCAAAAGGAAGGAGGCCUGCGCCCCCCCCCCCUCUAGUCCGAAUUGGACAAGGGGCGCAUCCCUCCUUUCCUUCUUCCUCUCCCCCUCUUUCCCCUUCUCCUACUCCAACAAGGGAGGUGGAAUCCUACUAGGACUAGGGAGUCCUAGUAGGACUCCACACUUGGCGCGCCCCCUCCUAGGGCCGGCCUCAUCCCCCCCUUGCUCCUUUAUAUACGGGCCCAUGACACACAAGUUGAUCUAUGUGAUCGUUCCUUAGCCGUGUGCGGUGCCCCCCUCCACCAUAUUUCACCUCGGUCAUAUCGUCGCGGAGUUUAGGCGAAGCCCUGCGCCGGUAGAACAUCAUCAUCGUCACCACGCCGUCGUGCUGACGGAACUCAUCCCCGACACUUUGCUGAAUCGGAGUCCGGGGAUCGUCAUCGAGCUGAACGUGUGCUGAACUCGGAGGUGCCGUACGUUCGGUACUUGGAUCAGUCGGAUCGUGAAGACGUAUGACUACAUCAACCCUGUUGUCAUAACGCUUCCGCUUACGGUCUAUGAGGGUACGUGGACAUUACUCUCCCCUCUCGUUGCUAUGCAUUACCAUGAUCUUGCGUGUGCGUAGGAAUUUUUUUGAAAUUAUUGCGUUCCCCUACAGUGGCAUCCGAGCCUGGUUUUAUGCGUAGAUGUCAUAUGCACGAGUAGAACACAAGUGAGUUGUGGGCGAUACAAGUCAUACUGCUUACCAGCAUGUCAUACUUUGGUUCGGCAGUAUUGUGAGAUGAAGCUGCCCGGACCGACAUUACGCGUACGCUUACGCGAGACUGGUUUCACCGUUACGAGCACUCGUGCUUAAAGGUGGCUGGCGGGUGUCUGUCUCUCUCACUUUAGCUGAAUCGAGUGUGGCUACGCCCGGUCCUUGCGAAGGUUAAAACAACACUAACUUGACAAACUAUCAUUGUGGUUUUGAUGCGUAGGUAAGAACGGUUCUUGCUCAACCCGUAGCAGCCACGUAAAAUUUGCAACAACAAAGUAGAGGACGUCUAACUUGUUUUUGCAAGGCAUGUUGUGAUGUGAUAUGGUCAAGACGUGAUGCUAUAUUUUAUUGUAUGAGAUGAUCAUGUUUUGUAACCGAAGUUAUCGGCAACUGGCAGGAGCCAUAUGGUUGUCGCUUUAUUGUAUGAAAUGCAAACGCCCUGUAAUUGCUUUACUUUAUCACUAAGCGGUAGCGAUAGUCGUAGAAGCAAUAGAUGGCGUAACGACAACGAUGCUACGAUGGAGAUCAAGGUGUCGCGCCGGUGACGAUGGUGAUCACGACGGUGCUUCAAAGAUGGAGAUCACAAGCACAAGAUGAUGAUGGCCAUAUCAUAUCACUUAUAUUGAUUGCAUGUGAUGUUUAUCCUUUAUGCAUCUUAUCUUGCUUUGAUUGACGGUAGCAUUUUAAGAUGAUCUCUCACUAAAUUAUCAAGAAGUGUUCUCCCUGAGUAUGCACCGUUGUGAAAGUUCUUCGUGCUGAGACACCACGUGAUGAUCGGGUGUGAUAGGCUCUACGUUCAAAUACAACGGGUGCAAAACAGUUGCACACGCGGAAUACUCAGGUUAAACUUGACGAGCCUAGCAUAUAACAGAUAUGGCCUCGGAACACGGAAACCGAAAGGUCGAGCGUGAAUCAUAUAGUAGAUAUGAUCAACAUAUUGAUGUUCACUGUUGAAACUACUCCAUCUCACGUGAUGAUCGGACAUGGUGUAGUUGAUAUGGAUCACCUAAUCACUUAGAGGAUUAGAGGGAUAUCUUUCUAAGUGGGAGUUCUUAAGUAAUAUGAUUAAUUGAACUUUAAAUUUAUCAUGAACUUAGUCCUGGUAGUAUUUUGCAAAUUAUGUUGUAGAUCAAUAGCUUGCGUUGUUGCUUUCAUAUGUUUAUUUUGAUAUGUUCCUAGAGAAAAUUGUGUUGAAAGAUGUUAGUAGCAAUGAUGCGGAUUGGAUCCAUGAUCUGAGGUUUAUCCUCAUUGCUGCACAGAAGAAUUAUGUCCUUAAUGCACCGCUAGGUGACAGACCUAUUGCAGGAGCAGAUGUAGACGUUAUGAACGUUUGGCUAGCUCAAUAUGAUGACUACUUGAUAGUUUAGUGCACCAUGCUUAACGGCUUAGAAUCGGGACUUCAAAGAUGUUUUGAACGUCAUGGACCAUAUGAGAUGUUCCAGGAAUUGAAGUUAAUAUUUAAAGCAAAUACCCGAGUUGAGAGAUAUGAAGUCUCCAACAAGUUCUAUUGCUAAAAGAUGGAGGAGAAUCGCUCAACUAGUGAGCAUGUGCUCAGAUUGUCUGAGUACUUCAAUCGCUUGAAUCAAGUGGGAGUUAAUCUUCUAGAUAAGAUAGUGAUUGACAGAAUUCUCUAGUCACCAUCACCAAGUUAGUAGAACUUUGUGAUGAACUAUAGUAUGCAAGGGAUGACGAAAAUGAUUCCGAGCUCUUCAUGAUGUUGAAAUCAACGAAGAUAGAAAUCAAGAAAGAGCAUCAAGUGUUGAUGAUUGACAAGACCACUAGUUUCAAGAAAAGGGCAAAGGGAAAGAAAGGGGAACUUCAAGUAGAAUGGCAAACAAGUUGUCACUCUCGUGAAGAAGACCAAAGCUGGACCAAAGCCUGAAACUGAGUGCUUACACUGCAAAGGAAAUGGUCACUAGAAGCGGAAAUGCCCUAAUAUUUGGUGGAUAAGAAGGAUGGCAAAGUGAACAAGGGUAUAUUUGAUAUACAGGUGUUUGAUGUGUGCCUUACUAGUGUUUAUAGUAACCCCUGAGUAUUUAAUACUUGUUCGGUUGCUAAAGAUUAGUAACUCAAAACAGGAGUUACAUAAUAAACAAAGACUAGUUGAGGGUAAGUGACGAUGAGUGUUGGAAAUAGUUCCAAGAUUGAUAUGAUCAUCAUCACACACUCCCUAUAUUUUCGAGAUUAGUGUUAAACCUAAAUAAAUGUUAUUUAGCGUUUGCGUUGAGCAUGAAUAUGAUUUGAUCAUGUUUAUUGUGAUACAGUUAUUCAUUUGAAGUUAAAGAAUAAUUGUUAUUCUGUUUACAUGAAUAAGACCUUCGAUGGUUAUACACCCAAUGAAAAUAGUUUGUUGGAUCUCGAUCGUAGUGAUACACAUAUUCAUAAUAUUGAUGCCAAAAGAUGCAAAGUUAAUAAUGAUAGUGCAACUUAUUUGUGACACUGCCGUUUGGGUCAUAUCGGUGUAAAGCGCAUGAAGAAACUCCAUAAAGAUGGAUGUUUGGAAUCACUUGGUUAUGAAUCAUUUGAUGCUUGCGAACCGUGCCUUUUGGGCAAGAUGACUAAAACUCCGUUCUCCGGAACAAUGGAACGAGCUACUGACUUAUUGGAAAUAAUACAUACCGAUGUAUGCGAUUCGAUGAGUGUUAAGGCUCGUGGCAAGUAUCGUUAUUUUCUAACCUUCACAAAUGAUUUGAGCAGAUAUGGAUAUAUCUACUUGAUGAAACAUAAGUCUGAAAUAGUUGAAAAGUUCAAAGAAUUUCAGAGUGAAGUGGAAAAAUCAUCGUAACAAGAAACAUAAAGUUUCUACGAUCUGAUCGUGCAGACGAAUAUUUGAGUUAUGAGUUUGGUCUUCAUUUGAAACAAUGUGAAAUAGUUUCGCAACUCACGCCAUCUGAAACACCACAAUGUAAUGGUGUGUCCGAACGUCGUAAUCAUACUUUACUAGAUAUGGUGCGAUCUAUGAUGUCUCUUAUUGGUUUACCACUAUCAUUUUGGGGUUAUGCAUUAGAGACAGCUGCAUUCACGUUUAAUAGGGCACCAUCUAAAUCCGUUGAGACGACACCGUAUGAACUAUGGUUUAGCAGUAAACCUAAGCUGUCGUUUCUUAAAGCUUAGAGUUGCGAUACUUAUAUGAAAAAAGGUUUUCAACCUGAUAAGUUCGAACCCAAAUCGGAGAAGUGCGUCUUCAUAGAAUACCCAAAGGUAACUAUUGGGUACACCUUCUAUCAUAGAUCCGAAGGCAAGUUAUUCGUUGUUAAGAUGGAUCCUUUCUAGAGAAGAAGUUUCUCUCGAAAUAAGUGAGUGGGAGGAAAGUAGAACUUGAUGAGGUAAUUGUACCUUCUCCCUUAUUGGAAAGUAGUUCAUCACAGAAAUCAGUUCCAGUGAUUACUACACCAAUUAGUGAGGAAGUUAAUGAUGAUGAUCAUGAAACUUCAGAUCAAGUUGCUGCCAAACCUCGUAGGUCUUCCAGAGUAAGAUCCGCACCAGAGUGGUAUGGUAAUCAUGUUCUGGAAGUCAUGUUACUAGACCAUGAUGAACCUAUGAACUAUGAGGAAGCGAUGAUGAGCCCAGAUUCCACGAAAUGGCUUGAGGCCAUAAAAUCUGAGAUAUGAUCCAUGUAUGAGAACAAAGUAUGGACUUUGAUUGACUUGCUCGAUGAUCAGCAAGCCAUGUUAAAUAAAUGGAUCUUCAAGAGGAAGACGGACACUAAUAGUAGUGUUACUAUCUACUAAGCUCGACUUGUUGCGAAAUGUUUUCAACAAGUUCAAAGUGUUGAAUACGAUGAGAUUUUCUCACUUGUAUCGAAGCUUAAGUCUAUCUGAAUCAUGUUAGCAAUUGCCACAUUUUAUGAAAUCUGGCAAAUGGAUGUCAAAACUGCAUUCCUUAAUGGAUUUAUUAAAAAAGAGUUGUAUAUGAUGCAACCAGAAAGUUUUUGUCAAUCCUAAAAAUGCUAACAAAGUGUGCAAGCUCCAGCAAUCCAUCAAUGGACUGGUGCAAGCAUAUCGGAGUUGGAAUAUACGCUUUGAUGAGUUGAUCAAAGCAUAUGGUUUUAUACAGACUUUUGAAAAGACAUGUAUUUACAAGAAAGUGAGUGGGAGCACUACAACCUUUCUGAUAAGUAUAUGUGAAUGACAUAUUGUUGAUCGGAAAUGAUGUAGAAUUUUCUGGAAAGCAUAAAGAAGUGUUCGAAGGGAGUUUUUCAAAGAAAGACCUCGAUGAAGCUGCUUACACAUUGAGCAUCAAGAUCUAUAGAGAUAGAUCAAGACGCUUGAUAAGAUUUUUCAAUAAGUACAUACCUUGACAAGAUUUUGAAGUAGUUCAAAAUGGAACAGUCAAAGAAAGAGUUCUUGCCUGUGUUGCAAAGGUAUGGAAUUGAGUAAGACUCAAAACCCGACUAUGGCAGAAAAUAGAAAGAGAAUGAAAAGUCAUUCCCUAUGCCUCAGUCAUAGGUUCUAUAAAGUAUGCUAGCUGUGAACCAGACCUAUUGUAUACCUUGCUCUGUGUUUGGCAAAGGAAUACAAUUUCUAUCUAAUAGUAGAUCACUGGACAGCGGUCAAGAAUAUCCUUAGUGAGGAAUAAGGAGAUGUUUCUCGAUUAUGGAGGUGAUAAAAGAGUUCGUCAUAAAAGUUACAUUGGUGCAAACUUUUACACUGAUCUAGAUGACUCUAAGUCUCAAUCUGGAUACAUAUUGAAAGUGGGAGCAAUUAGCUAGAGUAGCUCCGUGCAGAGCAUUGUAGAUAUAGAAUAUUUGCAAAAUACAUACGACUCUGAAUGUGACAGACCCGUUGACUAAGCUUCUCUCACAAGCAAAACAUGAUCACACCUUAGUACUCUUUGGGUGUUAAUCACAUAGCGAUGUGAACUAGAUUAUUGACUCUAGUAAACCCUUUGGGUGUUGAUCACAUGACGAUGUGAACUAUGGGUGUUAAUCACAUACAGAUGUGAAUAUUGAUGUUGAAUCACAUGAUGAUGUGAACUAGAUUAUUGACUCUAGUGCAAGUGGGAGACUGAAGGAAAUAUGCCCUAGAGGCAAUAAUAAAGUUAUUAUUUAUUUCCUUAUAUCAUGAUAAAUGUUUAUUAUUCAUGCUAGAAUUGUAUUAACCGGAAACAUGAUACAUGUGUGAAUACAUAGACAAACAUAUAGUCACUAGUAUGCCUCUACUUGACUAGCUCAUUAAUCAAAGAUGGUUAUGUUUCCUAACCAUAGACAUGUGUUGUCAUUUGAUUAAUGCGAUCACAUCAUUAGGAGAAUGAUGUGAUUGACAUGACCCAUUCCGUUAGCCUAGCACUUGAUCGUUUAGUAUAUUGCUAUUGCUUUCUUCAUGACUUAUACAUGUUCCUGUAACUAUGAGAUUAUGCAACUCCCGUUUACCGGAGGAACACUUUGGGUGCUACCAAACGUCACAACAUAACUGGGUGAUUAUAAAGGAGUACUACAGGUGUCUCCAAAGGUACAUGUUGGGUUGGCGUAUUUCGAGAUUAGGUUUUGUCACUCCGAUUGUCGGAGAGGUAUCUCUGGGCCCUCUCGGUAAUGCACAUCACUAUAAGCCUUGCAAGCAAUGUAGCUAAUGAGUUAGUUACGGAAUGAUGCAUUAUGUAACGAGUAAAGAGACUUGCCGGUAACGAUAUUGAACUAGGUAUUAGAUACCGACAAUCGAAUCUCGGGAAAGUAACAUACCGAUGACAAAGGGAACAAAGUAUGUUGUUAUGUGGUUUGACCGAUAAAGAUCUUCAUAGAAUAUGUAGGAGCCAAUAUGGGCAUCCAGGUUCCGCUAUCGGUUAUUGACUAAGAAUAGUUCUAGGUCAUGUCUACAUAGUUCUCGAACCCGUAGGGUCCGCACGCUUAAGGUUUCGAUGACAGUUAUAUUAUGAUUUUAUGAGUUUUGAUGUACCGAAGGAGUUCGGAGUCCCGGAUGAGAUCGGGGACAUGACAAGGAGUCUCGAAAUGGUCGAGACGUAAAGAUCGAUAUAUUGGACGACUAUAUUCGGAGUUCGGAAAGGUUCCGAGUGAUUCGGGUAUUUUUCGGAGUACCGGAGAGUUACGGGAAUUCGCCGGGGAUUAUAUGGGCCUUAUUGGGCCAUACAGUAAUAGAGGAGAGAGGCCAAAAGGAAGGAGGCCUGUGCCCCCCCUCUGGUCCGAAUUGGACAAGGGGCGCAUCCCCCCUUUCCUUCUUCCUCUCCCCCUCUUUCCCCUUCUCCUACUCCAACAAGGGAGGUGGAAUCCUACUAGGACUAGGGAGUCCUAGUAGGACUCCACACUUGGCGCGCCCCCUCCUAGGGACGGCCUCCUCCCCCCCUUGCUCCUUUAUAUACGGGGGCAGGGGGGCACCCCAUGACACACAAGUUGAUCUACGUGAUCGUUCCUUAGCCGUGUGCGGUGCCCCCCUCCACCAUAUUCCACCUCGGUCAUAUCGUCGCGGAGUUUAGGCGAAGCCCUGCGCCGGUAGAACAUCAUCAUCGUCACCACGCCGUCGUGCUGACGGAACUCAUCCCCGACACUUUGCUGGAUCGGAGUCCGGGGAUCGUCAUCGAGCUGAACGUGUGCUGAACUCGGAGGUGUCGUACGUUCGGUACUUGGAUCGGUCGAAUCGUGAAGACGUACGACUACAUCAACCGCGUUGUCAUAACGCUUCCGCUUACGGUCUACGAGGGUACGUGGACAUUACUCUCCCCUCUCGUUGCUAUGCAUCACCAUGAUCUUGCGUGUGCGUAGGAAUUUUUUUGAAAUUACUGCGUUUCCCAACAAGAAAUUGCCACCCAACCCGUCGGAGGACUGGGCCAAGGUAGUGGUUGCACCGCCAACAUUGCAUGUGAUGUAGGUGUCACAUCCACCUCGAGCAACAUCUUUCCUUUGAGAAUUUCUUCUGUCGUGUACCUCCGGGCCAGAUGUAGAGAUUUGAAGUAACUAUCAAGAUAAUUCACAGUCGACUCCAUAGGCAAUACCGGCUUGCCAUGGGCAAUGUCUGAGCAUAAACUCCAUAUAUGCCAUAAGCAUGAUGAUCCUAUCCCUUGUUUCCAAAGAGACCCAGCAAGGACAUGUAAUAUCCAUUCCUUCCCAUUAUCAAAUAGUGCAUCAUUACCCAGGAGGGGCCACACUGAUCUCAUAGCACCCCAUCUUGCAAUUUGUUUUCUAGUUUUUUAGGGGUAUAGCUAAGCUUUAUUGAUCAUAGUCCACAUGAAGUGGUAUACAAAAAGGAUCAUGGGGAUGGUUGAACCAUAGAUGUCGCCUCUGAUCAAGAGUGUGUGAAAACUUAGCUAACCUAUGUGGAUCAGCGUUUGAUGCCCGACCUUCAAAAGUAAACUUACAAUUAAUUAAACUAGUUCGCCGCUUAAUGUCGCUAAUGAUACAACCAUAAGUGCUACUAGUCCCUCUUUCAAUGUCGUUCACCACCUGCUUUGAAUCGGAGGCAAUUAUAACAUUUGAAUCAUCAAGUCUUCUGCUAGAGCCAAAGCUUCUCUGCAUGCCAUCUCCUCGAGUGUGACUACAUUGUGUUAGGUUGAUCUCUCUCUCGUUCGAACACAACGGGUCGAACGGCCCCCUGACUCGCGCCCUGAUCGGGGGCGCCCAACCAAACCAUGAUUGGUGGGCCCCUAUGACCUGCGCUAUAUAAACAGAGGUGGGGGCGGGGCACAACUUACGAGGUUAAUCACUGCCACAAUCCCCACCUACAAUCCCUACCGAUCUAGGGUAAGCACGAUGCUCACGGGAAGCACAACACCACCGCCAUCUCAGUCCACAUCGCCGCCGUCUCCAUACCACCAUGGCCGGCGCUGGAUCGAGUUCAUCCGCACCAGGAGAAGGUAGGUUACCGGAUCUACUAGCCUACUCCGAUCUAAGGUUCUAUCAAUGGUAUCAGGUAGCCAGAUCGGGCUAGAUGAUUUCGGUACAAAGAAACAAAAACAGAAAAGAAAAAAAAUCCCCUCCCCUAAGAACCCUAGACAGGGCAAAGAAUGAAUCCCCAACAGAAAAAGUUGCGCCGCCGCUCCGGCCGCGCAGUUCCUCUCGAUCCCGAAUCGCAUCGGCACGCCGAGGAUCCGGGACGAAGAACACUACCCCGCAAGGGGCAAAGGGCACCACCACCGCACCGCUUGACGGCGGCGCGCUCUCCCUCGGGAGCUCGCGCACACCGGCAAGAGGGCCAGGGGGAUACCUGCAAGGGGGACAGGGGGCGCCGCUGCAUCUCAAUCUGCCACUGUUUUUGGUGGAUGGGGGGCUUGUAAGAUGGAAACGAAGGGGAAAAGGAAAGGUGGCUCGCGCGGCGUGGCUCGACGCCGUCACCGGCGGCCGGCGUGGCCCCAACCCGCCGUGUCAGGAAGGCCCGUUGCGCCUCUCUGCCCUCUCACUCGCUCUCUGUUGCUGGAGAAGAGAAGAGGAAAAGUGGGGGAGGGAGAGAGAUAGGCACGGCGCCGCGCGGUGGCAGGCGUCGCCGGCGACCAGGGCCGGCGGCCUGGCCGUCGCAGCCGCCCCGACGGGAGAGAGGGCGAACAGAUCGCGAAGAGAGGCGAGAGAGGGGGCGCAGGGGCGGAAUGGGCUAAGUUUUCGGUCGGGGAUCGAUCGAUCGAGGGUUUUGUUCACGCGAGAUGCGCGCGCAGCCGUCGGAUCCCCCUGUGGUGUGGCGGCAUGGGGAUGUCAAAAGGAAAGGGAUGGAGUUUUUCUCGCUUUUGGCAUAGCAGGCCUCCCUUUGGGAGGCCCGCGCGACGGGCUAUUAGCUCAGUGGUAGAGCGCGCCCCUGAUAAUUGCGUCGUUGUGCUUGGGCUGUGAGGGCUCUCAGCCACAUGGAUAGUUCAAUGUGCUCAUCAGCGCCUGACCCGAAGAUGUGGAUCAUCCAAGGCACAUUAGCAUGGCGUACUCCUCAUGUUUGAAUCGGAGUUUGAAACCAAACAAACUUCUCCUCAGGAGGAUAGAUGGGGCGGACGGUCCUGAUGAAAACCUAACCCCUCCCUGGGCCUUAUGGGCCGAAAGUGGAAGCCUGGGCGGUCGGGCUGCGCUGGACCGAGGCCGGCUAUGCGGCUGAGGCGCUCGGGCGGCCGAGCGGUGCUCGCCUAGCAGGCUGUGAGCCACGACGAGCGGGCUGCAGAGUGGCGCAAGGCCAGCACAAUUUUCUCUGGGUUUUUUUACAGAGCAUAGUUUUUUGUUAUUUGUCCAGUUUUUGGCAGAUUUCAAACAGUGUUUUCUAUACAAAUUACAGGAAAUUUUCAGAAAAAGAAAUGUUCAUGAAUUUUAUAAAGAAAAUAAUAAAGUUCGUGAAUUUUUAUUUUAGUCAAAGAAAUGUUUCUGUAAAAUGUAAAAAGUUCAUGAAUUUUUUAUUCAUGUUUUUCCGCUGCGUAAAUAAUUAUUAGUGCUCUUUUACAAAGAAAAUAAAAGUUUAGAUAGAAUUAUGUUUUUUAAGAGCAUGUUAAAGUGAUUAUUAAAAUGAAUAUGAUUAUGUUAUUUUUAUGACCAACGUUGUUAAUAGCAUGAUCAUGUUUUAUUAUUGAAAUUUAAAGGUGCAUUUAUUUCUAUUUUUUGCCCAACGGUAAUAUAGAUUUAAUUGCAUAUACAAUUAUAUGUUUAAUUUGACCAAUGUUAGAUUAAUGCAUAUGAUUGUUAUAUUGAUGUCACUUUAAUUGUGAUUUCAGGAGGCUUUCACUUGAUGAGUUGCCUAAAAGAAGUUCCGACACUCAGAUGUGACAACCACACUGAGUGGAGGAAGAAAGUUGAACUGGCAUUUGUUUGUGCUGAUCUUGACUGGGUUGUGGAGAAACCACAGCCGGUCAGACCCACUGAGCCAGUAAGAGAGGCAACUGAUGAUGAUGAUGCACGGGCUAAAAAGAAGAGGGACUAUGCUCCUUUGGAGCAGUCCUACCUCAUAGAUAACCAAAAGUGGGUCAAUGCAAACAAAAAAUGCAUGGCAUUUAUAAAGAAUACAAUUGAGAGCGCCAUUGUGGGCUUCAUUGCAGAGUGCACUUCCGCAGGGGAGUUGCUUACAAAGAUAAAGAGCCAGUUCACUGGCUCUUCAAAGAUAUAUGCCAUCCAAGUGUUAGAGCAACUGGUGACACAGCGCUACACGAGUGGUAGUCAUGGAAUAAAAGAGCACAUCCUGAGGAUGAGCAAUAUGGCAGCAAAGCUAAAGCCCAUGGAUGAGGAUCUGGAGAUCAAACCAACGCUCCUGGUCCACCUGGUCAUGGCUUCACUGCCAAAGGAGUUUGAAACUUUUGUUGUAAACUAUAAUAUGACCCCUGGAACAUGGGACAUUGAAAAGACAAUAGCAAUGUGUGUCCAAGAAGAGGAAAGACUCAAAGCUGCACAUGGUGGUUCACUCAACUAUGUGAAGGAUUACAAGAAAAAGAACUACAGUCAAAACAACAAAAGUUCUCCUUCAAAGCAUGGAAAAGCCCCCCGUCAGCAUCAGCAUUAGCAACAACCUUUCUCAGUGGACAAAGACACUUGUCUCCACUGCAAGCAGAAAGGGCAUUACAAGAAAGACUGCGCUGCUUGGCUGAAGUCAGUCAUGGCAAAAAGAGGUAACAAUAUAGUUUCAUUUGUAAAUGAAUCCUUGUAUACACAGUUUUCAAAAUCCACUUGGUGGAUUGAUUCAGGAGCAACUGUUCAUGUUGCAAAUUCUUUACAGGGAUUCCAUUCGACGCGAACUACGCUAAGAAGCGAAAGACGCAUUGAAGUGGCAAAUGGAGUAGAAGCAGAAGUUGAAGCUGUCGGUGACAUCUCCUUGGAGUUAGCUGGCAGAUUCAAUCUUCUACUUAGAGAUGUUUUAUUUGUUCCAUCAUGUCAUAGAAACUUAAUUAGUGUUUCUUCUUUGGACAAAGAUAAUUAUGAAUGUUAUUUUGGACAUGGCAAGUGUGCCAUUUGGUAUAAUAAUGCUUAUGUGGGUGAUGCUUUACUACAUGAUGAGCUUUAUUUGUUAUCACUUCGUGAAAAAGUUUAUUCCGUUUGCAAUGUGAAAGAAAAUAUUUCCGCGUCGAAUAAAGAGCAAAAGAAAAGAAAAAGAACAUUUGACUCAUCGAAAUUAUGGCACUGUCGCUUGGGCCAUAUUUCGAAGGGGAGAAUAGAAAGAUUAGUCAAAAGUGAAAUUCUUCCUCCGUUAGAAUUUUCAGACUUAGAACAAUGCAUAGAUUGCGUUAAAGGAAAGUACGUAAAACAAAUCAAAAAAGGUGCAAUCCAUAGCACAGGCACACUAGAAAUCAUCCACACUAAUAUUUGUGGACCAUUUCUGGUGAAAAGUGUGGAUGGAUAUGACUCGUUCAUAACAUUCAAAGAUGAUUACUCUCGCUAUGGAUAUAUUUAUCCAAUCAAAGAAAGAUCUGAAGCGUUGGAUAAAUUUAAAAUAUUCAAAGCUAAAGUUGAAAAUCAACAUGAUAAAAGAAUAAAGAUAGUUAUGCUGACCGUGGGGGAGAGUACUACGGUCGGCACACUCCAUAUGGCCAAGUCCCUGGACCUUUUGCAAAGUUCUUGCAGAAGACUGGCAUAGUAGCCUAGUAUUCAAUGCCGGGCGAACCUCAGCAAAAUGGAGUAGCUGAAAGGCGCAACCGUACACUUAUGGAUAUGGUGCGCAGCAUGAUGAGUUAUUCCAACUUGCCAUUGGGAUUAUGGAUGGAGGCGCUUAAAAUUUCCAUUCACAUUAUCAAUAGAGUACCAAGCAAGUCAGUGCCCAAAACACCGUACGAGCUAUGGACAGGAAGGGUGCCAUCCCUACAACACUUCAGGGUGUGGGGGUGCCCUGUUGAGGCCAAAAUGUUUAAUCCAAACAUUGGAAAGUUAGAUCCCAAAACAGUGAGUUGCCACUUCAUUGGCUAUCCAGACAGAUCAAAGGGUUUUCAUUUCUACUGCCCAGACAAAUAUACAAAGUUUGUAGAAACGAGACAUGCAGUCUUCUUAGAGGACGAAAUGAUGAGGGGGAGCUUGGUAGCUCGGAAAAUUGAUAUUGAGGAGAAGAGGGUGCGUGCACCUAAUCCGAUGAUCCAGAAGCCAUUUUUCUCACUACCAGUUGCAACUCCAUCCAUGACAACUAUGGGGGCAGACCGGGACCUGUCCGUCAGGAGCUGACUGAACCCGUUGUUGAGCAUGAAAGGGAGGUACAUCAACAAAUUUUAGAAGAAGUGCCAGAAGUUGAGGCACAGAAUGUGCCAGAAAAUGAGGCCCUUAGAAGGUCUACAAGACCAAGAAAGUCAGCUAUUUCUACUGACUUUAAAGUUUAUAACACAGAAAUGGUUCGUAUAGAAAAAGAUCCUACCUCAUAUGAAGAAGCCAUGAGAAGCCCUCAUUCAUCGAUGUGGAUGAAGACCAUGGAAGACGAGAUGAAAUCAAUGAGUUCCAAAGAUGUUUGGGACUUAGAGGAAAUUCCUAAAGGAGCCAAAUCAGUAGGCUGCAAAUGGGUCUACAAAAUUAAGUAUGACUCUAAAGAGAAUAUAGAAAAAUAUAAAGCAUGGCUCGUGGCAAAAGGAUUUACACAAAGAGAAGGGAUAGAUUACAAAGAGACAUUUUCUCCAGUCUCAUGUAAGGAUUACUUCAGAAUCGUAAUGGCAUUAGUUGCUCAUUUUGAUUUAGAGUUACAUCAAAUGAAUGUAAAGACGACAUUUCUCAAUGGAGAUUCAAAAGAAAAUGUCUACAUGAAACAGCCCAAAGGUUUUAUCAUUGAAGGCAAGGAAAAUAUGAGAUGCCGCCUCAAGAAAUCCAUUUAUGGAUUAAAGCAAGCCUCUAGGCAGUGGUAUUUAAAGUUUAAUCAAACGAUUAAAAGUUUUGGAUUUAAAGAAAAUAUUGAGGAUAACUGCAUUUAUGCAAAGUUUAAAAAUGGGAAAUAUAUUUUCCUAAUCUUGUAUGUGGAUGACAUUCUGCUUGCUAGCAGUGAUGUUAGUCUACUACAAGAAACAAAGAAGUUCUUAUCCUCGAAUUUUGACAUAACAGAUCUUGGUGAAGCAUCAUAUGUUUUGGGCGUAGAAAUUCACCGAGAUAGAAACAAUGGAGUCUUAGGACUAUCGCAGAAAGCAUAUUUAGAAAAGGUUCUUAAAAAGUAUAAUAUGCAUGCGAGUAAAGCCACACCUGCUCCUAUAGUUAAGGGCGAUAGUUUUGGGAAAUUCCAAUGUCCCAAAAACCAGUACGAGAUCGAUCAAAUGAAAGGAGUACCAUAUGCUUCUGCAGUUGGCAGCUUGCAGUAUGCACAAGUGUGCACUCGCCCUGACUUAGCCUUUAUCACCGGGGUACUCAGUAGAUAUCAAGAGAAUCCAGGCAUAGAGCACUGGAAGAUGGUAAAGAAAGCAUUGUGUUAUGCGCAAGGCACGAAGGACUACAUGCUAACAUACAGGAGAUCUGAUUCCCUAGAGAUAAAAGGGUAUUCAGACGCAGAUUUUGCGGGGGACAAAGAUGAUAGAAAAUCCAUGUCAGGAUACGUAUUCACCCUCGCUUGGGGAGCUAUUUCGUGGAAAAGCUCCAAACAGUCGACAGUUGCAUCAUCCAUGAUGUAUGCAGAAUUCAUAGCAUGCUUCGAAGCCACAGGGCAGGCGAUAUGGCUAAAGAAAUUUGUACCCGACUUGAAAGUGGUAGAUUGUAUUCACAAACCACUAAAGAUGUACUGCGACAAUCAGCCCGCGGUAUUUUACGCUCACAACAACAAGUCGAGUAAUGCUGCCAAAACAAUAGAGAUAAAGUAUUAUGUUGUGAAAGAUAAAAUCCAGGAUCAAACUAUAAGUCUCGAGCAUAUAAAGACAAAAGAUAUGCUUGCGGAUCCGCUAACGAAAGGCUUACCACCCAAUGUGUUCAAGGAACACUUAGCCGGCAUGGGUUUAAGGGAAAGCCUUAUGAUUCCUGGAUAGGCCCAAAAGGAACAGAAUUUGUUUCUGAACAAAACGUAUGUUGUAGCUGAAUGAUUCUAUCGGCAAUUGAGUUGUGACGAUGAAAUAUGCUCUAUGUACCAAUAUGUGAUGAAACAAAUAAACUAGAAAGUAUAAAGUUAAAAGUAAAGUUGAGAUCAAGGGGGAGAAUGUUAGGUUGAUCUCUCUCCAGUUCGAACCCAACGGGUCGAACGGGCCCCUGACUCGCGCCUUGAUCGGGGGCGCCCAACCAAACCAUGGUUGGUGGGCCUCUGUGACCCGCGCUAUAUAAACAGAGGUGGGGGCCGGGGCACGACUUACGAGGUUAAUCGCUGCCACAAUCCCCACCUACAAUCCCUACCGAUCUAGGGUAAGCGCGGUGCUCACGGGGAGCACACCACCGCCGCCAUCUCAGUCCACAUCGCCGCCGUCUCCAUACCACCAUGACCGGCGUUGGAUCGAGUUCAUCCGCACCAGGAGAAGGUAGGUUACCGGAUCUACUAGCCUACUCCGAUCUAAGGUUCUAUCACAUUGAUGAUUCCCCGAACAAGUCAUAUGUAUUUUGAGUUUUGGUUCUUUUUUUAUCAAACCAAAUUUUCAUCAACCAAUUCCCGUAGCACCACACGGGGUGUUCUCUAGUAUCUUAUAUGAACAAUGUUAUGGAGACAUUGGGUGGACAAUUUUGACACGACGAGUCAGUGCAACCUUCCAUCACGUUUAAUGCGUGGAGCAGGAUUGUUGGAUCAACUGUUGUGUCUGAAUCGGAACAUAAAUCGUCGUGUGUGUCUUGAUUUAUUGGUCUUCUUUGUGAUAUGUGCCAAAUUUUGACUAAAAAUUCACCUAACAAAAUGUUAAUGCAUGUCAAUAAAAAGUAUAUCGUUGGAUUUGUAUUUGAACAUAGUUUAUCAAUGGUAUAAUUUUUUAUGACAUGCAUUAUUAUUUUGUUAGUUAAAUCUAUGAUCAAAAUUUGACACAAAAUACAAUGAGAACCAAUAAAUCAGGACGGAUGUAGUAGUUUUGAUCUUGUAUAGACAAAACCCCACUACAAUACAUUAAUUGUUAUUUCCCUUAGCAUGUAUGCUUUCACAUCAUCCAAAUUGUUAUAGCCUUUGAAUUUGCUAGCUUUGUCAAGUAACAUCCAUCCGAUCUCAAUAUGAAAAUUUAUCUAACUUGCAACAUGCAUACGCAUACAUAUGCGACAACCGCGCUCACGAGCCAGGACUACAACUCCAAGUACAAGAGUCUGUCAAAGUGUUCAACGACGACAACUGCGGCUCCAGCACACCGGUCCUUAGAGCAUCUACGGUCGGGCGUCUCAAACUCGUCUCAUACACCGUCUGGUCAUUGUCCGGUCAUGAUUUCUUGACCCAGACGGUACCUUCAAACGGCCCUCAAACGCCCGAGCUGACAUGGGGGUGUCCGGGCACGCCCGCCAUGUCGGACUGACGAAGGGUUCCCAGCCGGAAAUGCACUGAAACCCGGCGGUCCGAAGCUUGUCUCCUCCGUCGGACCGGUGGCGCAGCUCCGGCGGGCAGCGUCGUGCCUAGCCCGGCUAUUUAAGUCGACUGGCAGCACCACCCUACCAUAUAUCCACAUUUUCCUCCUUCUCCUCCUGUCCGUCGCCGACGCUACUUUCCACUCCACCCGUCCGCCUAGUAGCCAUGCCUCCACGCCGCCGGGUGAGGAGCGAGCCAAUUCUGACGCCGGAGCGCCAACUCGAGCUCCUUGAACAUAUCCGGGCUAGGCGCGAAGCCCGGAUCACCGCGGGGCUAUCUCCGGAUGCAGUGGAUCCGGGGGAGGAGUUGGAUGAGGAGGACGACGACGAGGAUGAGGAGGACGACGACGAGGAAGAGGAGGAGGAUGAUGAAGAGGAGGAGUAUGUGGGGGACGCUGGCGACGCGGAUCUGCAGGCGGAGCAGUAGGCCAUCCUCAAUUCCCUCCGGCCGGAGUCGGCUGCGGAGGCCAGACCCCGUCGCCGGCAGGAGAUGGAGGCACAGGAGGCCACGGAGGAAGCGGAGAUGCUCGCCUACAUGAAUGAGGUCGGGCAGGAGGAGGCUGAGCCGGAGGCCUCCUACCCUCCCGUCCAGCCGGCGCCUGGCACCAUCGUCGUGGACAUCUUCAAUGACGAAGACUAGCUAAGGCAGUACGUAGUAUGUAGUACGUACGAUUCUUUGCAUGCUUUCUAUGGAUCUAGGGAUGAAAUAUGAGAGAGGCGGAUGCUGAGUUGCUAAUUUGAGGCAUGACCGGUCUCUGUCUGUGGACGCGCACGGUCGCGUCCGCGGGCGUUUGAGGGGCCGGAUUUGCAAAGUCCGGCUGUAGAUGCUCUUGGGGGCACAUGCACAAAGACUUGCGCCUGUCAUCGACAAGGUCAAAUCGGUUUUGAUAAGAGAGCGGUGACAGUGCGUGUCCGCGGUACUGGUCGUUCAGUAGUCUCGGAAUCUUAAUGCAAUUUUUAUUAUGUUGAAAUACUUUGUACUUCCGAUCAACUUUGAUUAUAGAUCUGGAUUUUUUAUUUUUGAAAAAAGGUACAAGGACUAUAUCGUUUAAAAAAAUACAAGGACCAUAUAUAACCAUAUUUACAAGUUUCCAGACCGUAUUGAAACAGUUUUUAAAUAUAAGGACCAUUUUGAACAUAGCCAGCAAGAACAAGGCUAUGAGACUCUUCGUCUAUAGACCCUCUACCACUCUUCAGAUCCCACGUAACCAUUAAACCGCGCCCAUUCCACAGGCCAUGGUGGAUGCUUAAGGGCUGCAUAAGCAUCCCCUAGAGUUAAACCGCGCAUCGAUCAGUCAGUUUCAGAAGCAGCACGACACCGCCCGACCACAGGCGAGCGCAUCAUGUCGAGCCAUGGGGGACCAACGGUAGCCGUCAAGCUGUUCAUCGACAAGGGGAAGAAGACGGUGCUGUUCGCGGAGUCCGACAAGGACUUCGUGGACAUCCUCUUCAGCUUCCUCACGCUGCCUCUGGGCACGAUCGUCCGCCUCUUCAACAAGCAGUCCCAGAUCGGGUGCCUCGACGAGCUGUACAGGAGCGUGGAGGGCCUCAGCGAAGAUCACUUCCAGACGAGGGAUUGCAGGGCCAUGCUCCUUCGUCCCGCCAAUGCCGCGGCAGUGCACUGCGGCCGGCUCAAGGUCAAGGUUGACGACGCCGAUCAGACGGCGAUAUAUGUCUGCAAUAACUGUAGUGCAGGGUACUUCAGCCCGGUCCGUGAUGUUAGUUGCAAGUGUGGCAGGAUCAUGUAUGGCAUUAAGCGAUUGCCAGAUAAUUCUGCUGCUGGUACUGGAGACAGCACUGUGGAUGGGAUUUUCUCCAGAGGUGGCUCCAAGUUCAUCGUCACGGAUGAUCUCCAAGUUGCUCCUUCUUCUACCACUCUCAUGUUCUCCCUCAUCGACAGGCUUGGUCUGCAGGAACAGCUAAAUAUCAAGGAGGAGGUGCUCCAACUCAACUCCAAUAAGGUCUGUCUCUCUAGCUUACUUUUUUAUUUUAUUGAUUUUUUAGGACCCUAUAGAGCAAAUUAGAUUAUUGUUUUCUACUACCAAUUACAGUUUCAUUGUAUAUCUUGCAGAUAAUUAGCCUGCUUGGAAGAGCACUGGUGUCGAAGCAACCUUUGACUGGCCUAUAUUUUGAUGUUCCUAGUGCGCCGAAUGGGGCGAGUUUUUGCUGUGAGAAUCUGUUAAAGCCACAAGCAAUUGUGGUUGACCCGAAGUUCACACCAAUAAAGAUAAGGGUUGUUCAGACGAAGGAUAAUUCCUCAGUGUUGUAUGCUGAAGUUAACCAAGAUUUGGUUGAUCUCUUGUUUGGCCUCCUUUGCAUUCCUGUGGGGUCUAUAGUGAAGACUUACGGUCAGCUGUCACCAAACGGAUGUCUUCAUAAUGUCUACAACAGUUUGAGUGUUGCAGGAUGUGUAAAGCAAGAGUGCAGAGGCUUACUCCUAUCCCCGAAGCUGGCCCCUUUCUUUGGGUGCAGCAGUAAUGUACUUCAGGUUGAAGAAUUACCUAUCCGACAGCAUUAUGUUCCACAUUAUGCUUGCGAGCUGAAUCCAAAAUCCCCGAACAGGGGAUGUGAAACUUCUUAUAGAGCUUAUGUCAACCAAGGGUCCAUCAACUUCAUGGUGACUGACGGUCUGCGCAUCGUCGAUUUCUCCUUGGCCAAGAGCCUCCAGGCCAUACGCGCGGCGAAGGUUCCGAAGGGAGAGCUUGUGGAGAAAGAGCUAGUUCUAGACAAAACCAAGGUGCGAAUUAUCAAGUCAAGAGAAUUAGCUCGUUCUUCCUUAUUGUUCAAUCUUUUGCUAUGUUCUCAACGGCUGACUGUUUGCUGGCAUUAUCAGGUUCUGAAGAUACUAGGAGCUGCAGUGGCUACUCGCAAUGCACUCAGCAGCGUGCUCCUGCCAACACCAAAGAAGAAUGCCGCGACAACCUCGACUGAAGCCACCACAGCGUCUGGCCUCCAGCUGAGGAGGAGCGCGCGACUCCGAAAGCCCAGUCAGCCAGGAGAAGAGUGAUCCAUGUCCUGCUUGCUGCUGCCCCGCCAGAACUCUUCAUCUCUGUCUGAUCCACCAUGCGAAGCCGGGAGAUGCAAAGAAGAUUUUUCUGUUAGAUUUAGGAUUGUCCCGUGCGAACUUGCAACCGAGUCUCUAGCUUAUGUCAGUAGUAGUAUAUCUAUAUGGAGUGCAGCGAUUCGAUGCCCGGCUCAUCUGCACCUGGUCAGAAUAAUUCAUAAAAAAAUCAAAAACUUCCAAAUGCUUUUUGCAUGGUGGAUAAUUUAUUGCGUGAGGUUCGCUUUAAUUUUAAGAUCAUUUAGACAUCUGAGUAGCUCUCAGCAAAAAAGACAAAUUGAAGCGGACUCAUGCAUGCCCUAAAAUUGUCUUUUUGUCGAGAGCUACUCAGAUGUUCAAAUGAUCAGAAAAUUGAAGCGGGCCUCACGCAUCAAAUUAGCACAUGCAAUAAAAUUUGGGAAUUUGUGAACUUUUCUAGUAUUUGUUUUAAAAAAUUUAGCGCGGGUGCAGAUGAAUCUGGACUAAGAAAUGGGUAUUCGAUUUAUAUACAGGUACAAUGUGUGAACACGGUAAGCAAGAGGCCCACAAGUUUCUCUGUUUUUAAUCUCUUGCUACUGUAACCAAGAUGCCCACAACGUUAAAAGCAGAGGCCCACACGUUUCUCUACUUACCCUUAAGAAAACAAGUUUCUCUACUUUAAAAAAAAUUGAGGCAAUUCAACGAAACUUUAUUAGGCUGUCACAAUGUUUACAGGAGACUGAAGGAAGGUUUUCGGGGUGACCUAAUCAAAUAUGACAACCACCACCUAGAUUAAGAGCAUGCUUGAGCUUCAAAAUUUGAUCUCCUACGUUCAUGGGCUAUCUUACAAAAAUCAAAGAAACAGAUUGAUCUUUGAUCUACUUUUAAUAUCUUGCUACUAGUAGUACGAGGGUGCUCCUAUUUGGCGCAAUCCGUUCUGGAAAACGGGGAGUGCGCACCACCACACCCCUGCGUGCCCUUUAGGGACAGACCAUGCCCAGGGUGGGAAGCCCCCAUUUUCUUAUUUAUUUUUUCCUUUAUGUUUCCUUUUUUUCCUUUAAUAUUGUUUGGGAUUUCAAAAAGGUUUCAAAUUUAUAAUUAAUUAUAAAUUUUUAAAAUGUUCAAUAAUCAUUCAUGCUCAUGAAUUAAAAAUAUCAUGAUUUUGGAAAUAUGUUCGAGAAAUCACAAAACAUUCAUGGAUUAAGAAAUGUUUGUGAUUUUCAAAAACUGUUCGCAUAUUAAAAAAAUCAUGAUUUUGAAAACAAUGUUUGGGAAAUAAAAAAAUCAUGAUUUUGAAAAAAUUUCACAUAUCCAAAAAUGUUCAUGAAUUUUAAUAAAAUUUCGCGAAUCCGAAAACUGUUCAUGAUUUUUUUAAAUGGUCACAAAAAUCAAGAAAUUUUUAUGAAUUUGAGAAAAAACAGUUUUUUUAAAAGAAUUCAUCGGUUCAAAAAAUGUUCUCUGAUUGGAAAAAUGUUCAUGUUGAUGUCCUGCAAGACACACAAGCUAUUAUAGCAGCUUCGUGUAAGUAUUCCAAUGGUAAUCAUCCCAACGAAUAGCGGGGAAAAGUAUUUAUGUGUAGUGUUUUUGUCACACACACAAGUGGUCACGGAUUUUGUAUGAAGUAACUUUUUGAGAAUGUGCAAAACUUAUUAGUGUUCUUUGAGAUAAAUAAACCAAAGUGGUAAUUCUAGCACAUGAUGGGCCUGUAGAUGUUUGAACUAUUUGAUGACUUCACUAAAGGAAGGAUCGAUAUCAAGCGUUUGAACUAUGCCAUUAUUAGUCUUCUUCCUAAGGUUCCACGGCGACCAACUCAUCCCUUGUCCCAUCAGUGAGGUUGUGGGUUCUCUCCCCUUUGCUUGCUACUUUGACGAUGGAAGGGUGGUAGAAUGUUGUCCCUCUGCUUCGGCCAUAGUUAGGAUCAAAUUCAGUCAUUAAUAUGACAUGGUUGGGAUAAAAAAAGUAGCUAGUAUCAUUAUAUCACCUCAUGGUUAUAUCUUGAUUUUCCUGAUGGAAUUAACCAAGAUUUAUUGUGAGCUUGAGAUAUAAGUAGAAAUUCCUUAUACAAACCAUAUACCUUUUGCUGCGGGUUGUACUCUGAACAACGAUAACGAAUAUAGUGUUAGACCUAACAUAGUUUGCAAUUAUAUGAGUGCUUUGGAGUCAGUGAGAUAUGAUACUUCACGUCUCAAUAUCACUUCAUUAUCACCCCUAGGUACGAAUGGAGUUGUGCCCUAUCAGAACAGUAUGACCAUACAUGUCUUUUAGUGAUACGAUAUAUCCACAUUGAACUUCUCAUAUACAUUUUGGAUAUAUGUAGACUGAUAUCUAUUCUUGAGAGAAUGGUCAAGUUGUAAACUUAAGCUAAAUUUGGUUGAAUCCAAAUUUUCUAUCUUGAGAUGAUUUUGUGUAUGUUUAGGACAUUGAUGAUGAGAUCGUCGAUAUACACUAAGCUGAUAUAAGAAAAUCAAAUUAGAGAAUGGUCUAUGUGAUCAUGCACUUGUGAGAACAUACACAAAUCCAUGUGUAUGUUUUUGAUAUAUGUAGACUAAUAUGUAUUCUUGAGAGAAUGGUCUAUGUGAACAUGUACUUGUGAGCAAAAAUGAACAAACAAAUUAUCGGUCGAUCUCUCGCGGCCGCAUGCAUGAAGCCUCAUCCACUAAGGGCAUGUUUCGGACUGCUCUGAUUCACCAAAAUCACUUUCACUCCACCAAAUCCACUUUGGAUCAGUUUCAUACGGAAGUUGUAGCACUAUCCAAAAGAAUGUUUGGAUUCCAUCUAGCUCCAGCUUCAAGAAUGAAAAAUUUGGUGAAAGGAUCUAUUUGUUUGGAUGAGGGGAGAGAGAAACGAAGGGGUAUCCACUUACUGGUGGCAGUGGUGGGUAAUUUUCUCUCAACUCUAGCUUGUAGAGUUUUUUGGAGCACCCCUUGAAGAGCUUCAUAAAAAAUCGGAGUUGUACCUCAGAUUCUAGUUUUUCUGCGGAGCGGCAUAUCGUGGAGCUACCCCGUUGGCUUGUGUUUUCUGGAGCAGAGCCGAAUUAAAGGAGCAGAGCAGUCCCAAACGUGCUCUAAAUGUCAAAGAUAUCUCACUGCCCAAGCAAGCCACCAGAGAAAGGAACAACCCAAAAUAUCCGACCUAAGCUACUAGUAAUGCAACCAGGAACAAGGCGUCCGGGCUAAAAACCAGCAUGAACCCAAAAAUCUGCCUAAUUCUCGCCUAAAUCGAUGGAUUCUAGCCUAGGUGGAUGGAUUCUGAGAAUCCGGAAAAACCGACCUGAUAAAUGAAAUUGUCCGCCUAGGUUGCGACUAGGGUGCUUAACCAUCACCUAGGUGCUAGGCGAAAGUCAUCCGCCUCGCUUACGCAUAGCGCUUUUUCCAACCUUGGUAAAUAUGCUUGAUUGUUGUAGCAAGAAUAAUAACAACAUAGAAAUAAAUAACAUAAAUUAAAAGACAAAAAGUAAAGGUGCGUUCCUGCAAGAUUAGGCGCGGAGAAACUUUGGAUCAUCAUAUAUAUCAAAUGUGUCGGUGCGACGGUAAUUUCAGUUACCUUGUAUCAUGAGUUUAGUAUUCUGUUUGCAUGUUCAAUAGGUGAAUCACCCUAGGUGUGUAUAACUCCUCCACACGGGAUUACAUUCCAUAGUACGGUCCUGCUUUGACAUUGCCACGAUGUGGUCAUCUCCACGAUUAAAGUUAUUAAAUCGAAACCAUGCAUUAAGUUUGGUGGUUCAUCGUUAUCUCAUAUUGUGUUCGAUCCUCGUUGAUGUCUUCACCUGUCACCUAGAGGUCACAGAUUCACUAAUCAACAUAUGUUACCUAUGUAGGUUUUUAGAUCAUGUUGCCUGAACCCUUAAUUUGGAUAGCACGCAAUGCAAUCACCAAAGAAUAACAACUUACUAGACAAUCAUUAGACUACAAACACAAAUGACGACAUUAUAGAAUAGGCACACAUGAAUCUUACCAUUCACCUACAUCUCCCACACCCAUCGGGAAUUAUUCACACAUCAUAGAAUAAUAACAAAUCAUCAUAGAGAAUAAUUCAAUGAAAACCAUGUCGAUAAUACCGUGAUGACCCAUAAUAAGAUGAAUGAAUAAACGAGUCCCGGUCUCCAAAUGAGUAGGAAAGAAUUCCUCUAACAAUAGUGACGAAGAGAUGAAAUGAAAUGAAGAGGAAAAACUAGAAGGAAAGGAUCUCCGGUGGUUCUUCUUUUCCAGAUCUCUUCUACUUUUGUUCUGAAUGGUGUGGCGGGCGACUAGGUCUCUAUGAUGAGUUGAUGCCCUUUACUAAGUUUGCUCACGCGAAUAACAGGAGCCGUUGGUGCCUGGUAAGAGUGCUGGUAGGAGCAUUACGACUGUCUUGCGUUCUGUUGGCGUUGGUGCAAAUUCCUCCAACAUGGAAAUGACUUCAAUUGGUUUGACGAGAUGUAAUGUUAAUUGGUUUCCUUCAUAAAUGUGUUUUCUUGUCAAACAUUGGAAAAAUGAAUUUUGUUCUCUCUCGAAGGAUUAGCGUUAGAAAUAACCGAGAAAUAAUGAAAACACGGUAGAAACCAAUUAAAACUCUCUACAGAAAGUGACAAAUUCUUGAGCUAUCACGUGCAUUUCAAAAAAAUGUUCGUAAAUUUCAAAAAUUGUUCCCAAAUUUCAAAAAAAUCUUCGAUUCAAAAAAUGUUCAUACAAAGUAGGAGAAGCCCUGCUAAUUGGGAAAUGUUUAUACACGGUGUGUCGGCGGAACUUUGAGCCUGACACACGCGACGUGUCUGAUCUGGCUAGAUCGCAUGCACUGGAGGCAGCUGCCAGCGUCCCGCCCUUCCACCUUGCAUCCACGCUCUUCUGAGGAGCCUGCAGCGCCCUUCUUAUCUCUAUCUUUUCCCAUCGUUGUAGCACCACAUCUUCAUCUCCCCUGCUGCUCAUCCCCUUUCUUCUUCCCUGCAUCAAAAUAUGACGAGGAGAGGCACCAAAAAGCAUGCCCGCGUGACGCGCCCUGGCCACUGCAAGCAACCAUGCGGCCGCUGCGAGCGAACGCCAUGGCUGGCUUCGAGCGCUCCUCUCCAUGGCCGCUGCCGCCGGACGCGUUAGUCGCCAUGGCUGGCUCCCGAUUCCCUGUAGUGAGAGCUGCAUCCCGAGUGACGGUGGCGGUGCUGGAGCUGUUCAAGCUAUGAGCGAUAUCGGCAAGGCGAAGAUACAAGAAAUGCUGGAACCCACUGACUGGAAAUCUGCAACCGGCCACACGAUAUGCUGGAAGCAGUGUCCCCAGAGCUGGAACCAUAGUCCAUUUUUGCUGCAAUCAGCAGUCGCGGGGGUGAAGACGAGAAGGUACGGUGCUACUACCAGAGAGUUUUUUUGCUGGUACUGGAUCCUGCUCCAUUUUUGCUACAACCAGCAGCUGCCAAGGUGAAGACAGCGAGGUACGGUGCUACUACCAUAUAGUUUUUUUUUGCUGGAACCAGGCGGAGAAAAAAGCUGCAACCGCGAUUGAUCGGUGAUGCAACGGGACGACGUCGAGAUGUGUUUUGCUGCAACCAGCAAAAAAAUUGCUGGAACCUGUAAGAAUUUUUUCUGGGAGGAUAGACGAGAAUUUUGCGGCGGCCACCCAAAGGUGGGUCUUUUUGCUGUAUCCGGGUUUUUUUUACUGCAACUGACAUGUGAUUUUGCUGCUACUGGCAAACUAAUGGAGUUUGUGUUUUUGCUAUUUUUUGCCGAGGACACAGUGGUGCGAACCGAAUGAUGGUGACGAGCGGAGGCGGUGAUGAUGGCUCAGGGAUGUUGCAACCAUGGUGGCACGUGCUGGAACCAGCCGGCAGGCGAGUUGCAUUCAUCAAUGAAACAUGGGACGGUUGUCGACGGCGACAAACUGAGGGGGAGGGGGAGGGCGCUGCGCGAUGCGGCGAUGGUGGGCGGCCGCCAUGACUUGUGGUGUUUCUUCAUAUCUGAAACGCGAACGGGGUGAGAACUGAGAAGGAAGGAGGCAACCUGGAUUUUUUUUAGGCAACCUCGCAAAGCUUUAUUACGUCAUCACAAUGUUUACAGGGACGAAAGGAAUUCCUUCGCGUUGGCCUAACCAAACAUGGCGGCCAACACUCAAAGAUAAAGCAUGCUUUGCUAAGUUGUGAGCAUCAAAGUUUGAGCUCCUAGACUGAUAAACUACUUUACAUGAAAUAAAGGUAGAAAUUUGCAUCUCUAUUUCCCUAACCACAGCGCCAAAUGCCGCACUGCUCCUCCUGCCAAACUCACUUACCACACCCUUGCAAUCUGUAGCCGCAUGUACCCUUGAUAUGUGUAAAUCUGCUGCUAGAUCAAGGCCCUCUCGCAACGCCAUAGCUUCCAAAGUAGCUGGGUCUUUCACAUGCUUGAAAAUGAUAGCCGAUGCACCUAGGAAACCUCCCUCCUGGUCCCGGCAUAUUGCUGCUACGGCUCCAAACCGGCUUCUGCCACCUACCGCAGCAUCAACAUCUAGCUUCGUGUAACCUUCAGGGGGAGCAAUCCAGUUCGGGUGUUGCACAGCCCCUCCCCGUGUUGCAUGAACACUUGGGACUAUAACUUGAAGAUCACUUAUGUAAGAGUUUAUAAAUCCAUGUGUGGCCUGCCGUGACUUGAAGAUGCCCUCAUACAAAGCUUUCCUCCUUGCACCCCAUAUGGCUCAUAGUGAAACCGAAAACCUGAUAAACUCAUCGGUUUUUAGAGCUCUCAUCAAAGCAAAUAACCAUAACUUUGGGCACUCUUGAUGGUGGGAGCUCAAUUGGUCCAGUAUCUCCUCCGAUGAUAACACCCAAGUGCAUCUCGCCAUUGGACAGUUGAGCAGCGCGUGUCUCCAAGAAUCAGUCGUCCCACACAAGCCACAUACCUUCGUCGUUGACAUAUUCCUCCUGUGUAAAACGUCUCCCGAUGGUAUCGAGUUUCGAGCGAGGCGCCACAAAAAGACCUUUAUCUUGCUCGGCACUGCAACCUUCCAGAUUGCCUUCCAUUCUUUGCUUUGUCCCUCACUGGUAGAUGUUGUUUCUGCCUCAUCCAACCAUCCUUCUCUAUCAUGUUCUGUUCGAACUAACAUUCGGUAUGCAGACCCGACCGAAAAGUUACCCCGAGGUUCUUCCCCCCAGGACCAGAAAUCAUCAAUGCGUCGUGUACACAACGGUAUCUGCAUUAUUGCUUCAGCAUCAAACUCCGUAAACACCGCCCGGAUCAUCUCCUCCUUCCAUGAAGCCGAAGUUGGUUCAAUUAGUUCGGAUACCAAUCGUGGCGGGGCAGCCACCCUAGCUGCAAUCGGUCUCUUGUAGCUUGCUCUAGGGAUCCAAUUAUGGUCCCAGAUUCCUGUUGAAGCACCAUCCCCUAUCCUUCUAACCACUCCUUGCGCCAUCACAUCCCUUCCAUCUAAGAUUGCUCUCCAAAUCUGUGACGGGUGUGACCCCAACUCUGCUUCAAAAAGUGUUACCUCCGGGAAGUAAACGGCCUUCAGAAGCCUUGCACUCAGAGAUUCCGUGUCAUUGAGAAGCCUCCAUGCUUGUCGAGCCAACAAAGCUAGGUUAAAGAGCUCCAUGUCCCUAAACCCCAUACCUCCCAUAUGUUUUGGCUUUGUCAUGACAUCCCAAGAAACCCAGGCCGGCUUGCGUUUCCCCCUUUUGCUUCCCCACCAGAAUUGGCGAAUGAUGGAUGUAAUGUUGUCACAAAGUCCCCUGGGUAGCCUAAAAUAAGCCAUAGAGAAUACUGGAAUAGUUUGUGCCACAGAUUUAAUAAGGAUCUCCUUCCCCGCCGCAGAUAACAACUUGUGCAUCCAGCCUUUCACUUUCUCCCAAAUUCUAUCACGCAAAUAUUUGAACGUACCAUUCUUCGACUGGCCGACAUCUGUUGGCAUACCAAGAUAGCGUUCAUUAAGCGAUUCAUUAUGGACAUUCAGACGAUCCUUGACUCCAUCUCUAAGAUUCUGUGGGCACCCUUUACUGAAAAAAUUGAUGAUUUCUCGGUAUUGAUUCUCUGACCCGAAGCAUUACAAUAAAUGGUGAGUAGGUUUGAUACUCUUUCUGCAACCUCAGAGCUAGCUUUGAAAAGCAACAGGCUGUCAUCUGCGAAAAGAAGGUGGUUAACGGCAGGAGCCGUUGGCGCCACUCUAAUACCUGCGAGUGUAGAUGACUGUGAACUGGAUUUCAGGAGGCACGAAAGGCCCUCUGCUGCAAUAAAAAAUAGGUAAGGUGAGAUAGGAUCUCCCUGCCGAAUUCCUCGUGAUGGAUAAAAACGUUCGAGUCUUUCUCCAUUAAACAAAACUGAGAAGGAGACUGAAGAAACCAUAGCCAUGACUGUGUCAAUCCAACUUGGUGCAAAACCCAACUUCUCCAUCAUGGCUCUCAAAUAGGUCCACUCUAGCCUGUCAUAGGCUUUCAUCAUAUCCAACUUCAAAGCACAAAAGCUAUUGUUUCUUGACCUGCUUCUCUUCAUAAAAUGUAGACAUUCAUAGGCACAAAUUAUAUUGUCCGUGAUCACUCUACCUGGGACAAACGCAGAUUGCUCCUCAGAGAUGAUGUCUGGUAGGACCAAUUUCAACCUGUUUGCGAUAACCUUCGACGCUAUCUUAUACAGCACAUUGCAUAAACUGAUCGGCCUGAACUGUGAAAGGAGGUUUGGAUUAGUUACCUUAGGUAUCAAGACCAAUACCGUGUCAUUAAUUGUCUCUGGGCUUUCCUCCCCUUUCACAAUUUUUAGUACUAUCCUUGUUACAUCCUCACCGCACACAUCCCAGUGCUUCUGAUAGAACAAAGCUGGGAAGCCAUCUGGGCCAGGUGCCUUAGUGGGAAACAUUUGAAAAAGAGUUGUUUUUACCUCAUCAUUAGUGUAAGGGGCACACAAAUCUGCAUUCAUAGCAUCGGUCACCUUUCUUGGCACUUGAUCAAUCACUUGCUGUAUCCCUUGUACUCCUUCUGAGGUAUAAGGAGUCUGAUAAAAGUCAUUCGCCAUCGCCCUUAGUUCAUUUGGAUCAUCCACCAAAACUCCCAGUGAGUUUUCCAACGCUUUUAUCAUAUUCUUCUUCCUUCUGAGGCUCGCACGCAUGUGAAAGAACUUAGUAUUCUUGUCACCGGAGGCCAGCCAAUCAAUACGUGCUCUCUGUCUCCACAUUAUCUCCUCCCUGUGGUACAACUCAAUUAGUCUCUCAUUAGUUUUAAGCUCAACAUGCGUGGGUGCCACUCUCAGUGGGUCACCUCGUAGCUCAUCCAACCUUUUUUUCAAGUCCUUAAUCUCCUUCCUCAAACUCCCGAAUGAUUGCCUGCUCCAAUUUGUAAGACCAACGGACAUCCGCUGCAGCUUGUCCUGUAGUUCCUGAACAUUAUUGCAUGUGCUGUUCACUGUCCACUCCGUUUUAACAAAGUCCUUCAGCCCCUCGUGUUUCUCCCACAUCGCUUCAUAGCGGAAGGUGCGCCUUUGUGGCUCUCUCUGGCCCUGCCCUAGGUCAAGUAAAAUAGGGCUAUGAUCUGAUGUUGCCGCCAUAAGAUGUUCAAGAGUUGCCGCAGCGAAACGGGCCAUCCAGGGUGCAUUCGCAAGUGCCCGGUCUAGUCUGCAUCUCGUAUACGUCCCUCCAACUACUCUUUUUUCAAAGGUCCAUUGUCUUCCCUUAUAGCCAAUGUCAAUUAACAUGCAAAUGUCCACUGUGUCUCUGAAGGCUUGUAUUUGAGCAUUACUUCUCAUCCCAAUUCCAUCAUGUUCAUUUGAACGUAAAACUUCGUUGAAAUCCCCUAUGCACAUCCAUGGAAGGGAGCUAGAUGUGCUAAUAUUUUUCAGAACGUCCCACGUCCGGUAUCUCAGGUGAGUUUGAGCCUCUCCAUAGACGCACGUCAAUCUCCAUGCAUCAUGAUUUUCUUCCUGUACAGAGAAAUCCAGGUGGUAACGAGAGUAACCCAAAAUGUCAAUCUUUAUUUCAUUGUUCCAAAAUAAUCCAAUUCCACCGCUCCUACCCUCACUAUCAAUCGCAUAUGCAUUAUCAUAUCCCAAUGUAGCAGCUAAACUUUCUACCCUAGAUCCUUCUAUCUGAGUUUCAACGAUACAUAACAGGGUAGGGGCAAACUUCCUCGCUAAAUCGCGAAGUUCUUGGACUGUCGCGGCGUUGCCCACACCGUGGCAGUUCCAACAAAGAGUACUCAUUGGGCUCGGCGGCGCUCCUCAAAGGAGCCCGCCAAAUUCUUCACUGGGAUGCUUGAACUAUCUCUCUCUUCUCCUUCCGUCUUGGAACGCUUCGGGUCUCUCGUAGGGGAAGGGUUGACCACCGAACCCACCGGGACAAUGGCUAGAUUUGUUGCACUUGGCUCCCCCUGCUGCUUCCCCGACAACAUAGUAUUCUUCCCUGACUCCUCCCUAUCCAUCCGCUUUCUGCUAGGAUCAUCAACAGCCAUAUCCUCCAUGCUUGGUUGCACACUUCCCUCGUGAUCAUCAUACCUCCUGAAAUCUUCACUCUCACUUCUUGGUGUCCCUCUGUUUCCUCUACCUCGGCCUCCCCGUCGUCCACCAUGGCGACCCCGUUCUCCUCCAGGGCCUGUAGCUCGCCUCAUAAUCCACGAAGCACGAAGAUCCUUAAAGACCGGUGCUUGAGGGGGAUGGAUUCCAUUGUCGUGUUCCUUGAACGUAUGGCCUAGAUGACCACAAACUGCACACCAAUCCGGCAGGCGCUCGUACUUGACCCUGUAUAUCUGCCUCUUCGACUCCCUCACAAGCGACACCGCAUUCUUCAGAGGCCUGUGCAAAUUGAUCUUCAACCAAACACGAUAAAAAUUGCCAGCAAAGUCAUGCGACGACGUUUCUGCGAAAAGAACCUCUCCUACCUUGGCCACCAGUGUCGGCACCAGAUGUGCAUACAGAUUAGGAACGUCAUGUAUCUGGAUCCAGAUAUCCAGGGUAUCAAGCUUUACUUGAGAUGGUUGGGUCACACCAUCGUACGGGGUGAUGAUCACAGCAUGUCCACGAAAGUUCCAUGGGCCCUCUUCCAUGACUCUUUCCCAGUCGCCGAGGCAAUGGAAUUGCAGUGUAUAGAGAUUCUCCUACAAUGGCUUGAAAUUCACUACCUGAGCCAGAUCCCAAGCUGCUCUCAUGUUUCUGAAAAAUCAACUUUGGCUAUAGGGUUUAUCAAUAUGAACCCUAGCUACUGCCAUCCAUCUAACUGCAUCUUGGGGAAUAGCACCCUCAUCUACCACCACAUCAUCCAUGUCAUCUUCACAUAGGCCCAGCCCCGCCAUCAUCCUUUCUACCUCUGACGCAGAUGAAGAGGCAUCAGCAGUCGCCGAUCCCGAGCCCAUCUUCGCCGCCAUAAGUCAAACCCUAGCCCGAUCGUUAGAGAACUCCGGACUAUCGAAACUGUGGUGCUGCCCUACUCCGAGUCGCCGUACCGCGAGAGGGCAGGGAUCAGGGGACCCCGCCUCGCCUCAGUGGUCGAUCGACGGGAGGGAAAGAGGAAGAUCUCAACGAUGGCGACAGAGUCGCCGCCGAGAGCAAAAAACCCUAACUCGAGGGAAAGAUAGGAGGCAACCUGGAUGGACAAAGAUACAACAGCCCGGGGUGGGCCAGUCGGGUGGCUGGGGUGUGACGGGCCGAAACUUUGGGCCGGCCUCGCCCUAGUAAUUCGGGAUCAUGAACCAAAAAGUAGCGUGCGCCGUAGCGUAGAUCGGUGCGGAACACCGGCGGCAGCUUAACCGGGACGAGACCCGCCGGGCGCCGGGCAGCGUACCUGCCCCUGCUCUGCUACAAACAUCAAACCACCCACGUGCCAAGGGGAUCUUGCUAGCUGUUGGUUGUUUAACGAACUGCUGCCUUGGUGCUCACUGCUCUGAACCAACCGCUAGAUAAAUAAACCUUGCUGUUAUUGUCUGGCACAUGUUUGACCCGUUUUUCUUUUUUUUUUUGAGGCUCAUAUUUGACCGGUGUGGAGCAUCGUACCACCGCCUGGGCCGCCCUGGCAGGUCUUUGUCGCAGUGUAACAAACUUGUGCCGAACUGGAGGCCUAAGUUUCCAAAAGGGGACAGUGCGUGGAUAGCAGAAUGCUGUCCCUGUUGCUUGGACUUGGGUGGCACGUUCAGACAAUCAAUCAGGUCCGAACCAGCAGCAAAAGUAGGUCCAUAUAUCACCGACAGUUUUCUUUUCAACAAAACCUCCUCCCGUCCAGCUAAAGCUAAUCCAGCCACACACAGGCACACAGCACGUUCGUCGUAACACUGGGAUACCACCACCCUCUUUUAGGGCUUGUUCGGUUAAUCCUCUCCUCAAGAGGAUUGAAAGGGAUUGGAAAGGAUUGAUUUGUAUUUUCACUUACAAAAGGUUUAAAUCUCCCUCAAACCCCUUCAAUCCACUCGGUUUGGCAAGCAACCGAACAAGGCUUUAGGCUUUGUUCAGUUUGAGGUGGAUUUGAAGGGGGUUGGCAGGGAUUGAGGUGGAUUACAUCCCUACAAGCCAAAAUUCCCUUCAAUCCUCUCCAAUCCCCUUGGGAGGAGGACUAAGAGCAUCUCCAGCCGUUGGCCCCUCAGAAGGGGCUAAAAAUCGCCCUCUGGGGACGCGCCGGCGCUAACCCGCGCGCUGGGGGCGUGAUGCCCCCCAGUCGCGGCGUCCAUGGUUUUUCGAAAAAUUUAAACACGGCAGAAACACGGCGCAAAUUCAUUGCAAACUUCGGCGAGUUCGUUCAAACUUAAACAUAUUUUACAAAAAAAAAACUACUAGGGGCCGCCACUCGCCGUCUCCAUCGCCGCUCCUCGCCGUCUGCCUCGCCGCUCCUCGCCGCCCGCCGCGCCGUCCUCGUGCAGAUGGCGGCGCCCGAAGCCAUUCGCCGCCACGCCGUCGCCUGAAAAGCGCUCGGCCAUCCUUCUGAGGUGGGGACGGCGAGAGGAGGAAGGGGGAGAAGUGGGCGCGUCGGCGGUGAAGUGUUUGUGUGUGUCUCCGGCGCGCUGAUUCUCGGCUUAUAUAGGCGGAGGCGCCGCGCGGCAGGCUUGGCCGGCGCGUUACGCGUGGCGGGAGGCGUGGCGGGCGAGGGGACGCGCGUCGCCCGGCUUUCACUGCGCCGUCCGUGAGGCAUCAAUGGAGGCUGACCGGCGCGGCAGCGCCCGCAGCUUUGACAUUGAUUCGCCGCGGGAAACGAGGCGAUGAGGACGACGAAGCGGCGAGAAGCGAGUCGAGUCGCUGACGCGGCUGGCCCACGGCGCUUUCGCACCAAAAAAUAUUCGUCCGGCCCUCCCGAGCGUCCCGCAGCGCGCCGGAUUCGAGUUGGGUCCGCCGGCGCCAAUUUCGGUCCGAGCCGACAAAAAUGGGCCCUGGAAGCGCGACUGAGCCGAUUUUCUGAUGCCGGCGGCCGAAAAAUCGCCUGGGGGACCUUGUUGGGACACGGCUGGAGAUGCUCUAACAGAACAAGGCCUUAUACUUAUAAAACUAAUGCGGAUCAAACACGGCGAGGAUUUCCCUCCACACACCGGUUCCACUGUGUCCAAUAACACCGGUGAUCUGCAGCCUCACCACAUCAGGAGUCAGAACUGGAUCCGAGGAUAAACCUAACGAUCGGCCAACACGACGAAAUGGAUACACGCACCCACGAGCCGAGCCAACAACCGACGCCGAACGGAGAUCAGAUCUGAUCGGAAUGUUCCAUAUUUCAUGGCCUACUCGAUCCUUUGCUCGUGUACAGCUUGAAGUCCCGCUCCCCUCGUUAUCGCUGUUUAUUUUCGGCACUCAUCACAAGAUCAUCACUAUCUUCCUCGCUAGAACUAUAUACAACAAAUAACGCGCUUCCAGUUUCCCAACCAGACCAUCGGCCUGACCAGUUUUUUGUUACUAGCGGCUAUAAAUGUGAGCUAUAUGGGCUUGUUCGACUAUUAGGCAAAGGUAAUAGAAUCAAAAGAUUAAAAUACUCCCUUUGACCCAUAAUUAAUAUAAGAUGUUUCUGCAGUUCAAUUUAAACUAUAAAAGCGUCUACCAUAAAGGGACAGAGGUAGUAGAAAAUAGCCAAAGGAUAAUCCCCUCUUUUGCUCGUGCAAUUACAAAUUUUGCCGAGGGAAAAACCACUGCCACCGAGCUAGAGGGUGCCAAGGCUAGGAUCGCCGGGUUAAUGAGAUCAAACGGAUUCUGACUCAUGAAAGGAACAUUAGACUAGUUAAGAUAAGCAGGCAUGCGAAUGUGGCAAGCCAUACCCUUGCCUCUACGGGUCGCUCGCAACAACGUACUGCUUACUGGCUUCGUAAUUCUCCUAUGGAGAUAGCUAGCAUAGUUGAAACUGAAUGUAAUCACCAUGGUUGAUCAAUGAAAGUUCCUUUCCCACAAAAAAAAAAGGCUCGGAUCGCCGGUCAUACUGGUCAUUGUGUAUUGUUGGUGCCUUAGGACGUCGGUAGCUACGACACGAGAGUCAUGUUGAGAAACUAACUUAUAUAGGGUUGGUCGUAAUGAAAGUAUCAUAAGUGAUAUCAUGCAUGUCAACUAGACUUUUUUUUUAUGAUGUGUCACACAAUUAAAUAAGAAAAAAGAGGAUGUGGUAUUAUAUCAUGAUAUCGUAUCAUAACAAAUGUUUUACCAUUUUGUGUCAUGCAUGUCAAUUAAUAAAAUAAUCAAAGAUAUUAUGUAACUAAUGAUACUAUGUAUUAUGAAAGUAGUUUCAUACACUAGUAUUAUAUGCGAGAUACUAGUAUAUGAUACUACCUAUUACGGGCAGCCUAAUAAAUAUCAUUGACUGCCUUUAUUAUUUCCCUACUUAUCAUCACUCAUUAAAUAUGUGUCAUUUUCUUCUUAUUUAAAAAUCAACACCAUAAGAAGAAAACAAGUUAUCCCUAUCUCUACUACUUAAAAAGAACGUAUAGUUGUCACAUCCCUAGUUCUGGUAUGCUCGAGGCUAGCUAGUCAUUUGUGCAUCAUGUUUAAAUUCUAUUUAAAUUUGAAAUGGGGAUUUGUGAAACCCUCAGAAUCAUUUUUGGAAAUGACCCAAAUAAAAAUUGCUCCAAAAAGGUCCAAGAAAAUGCUCAUGUUUCUCUCUGAAAAUAUUGGAUAGAGAUAAAAAUCAAACCAAUAUUUUUAAGAGCCCAUAAGUAUUUAUUUUGGGCAUUUGGAAUAAAUGCAUAAAUAUUUGCAUUGGAUAUAUAUUUGUUAUAUAUAUAAUAUAUGUCCAAAAAUUAUGACAUUUGUUGAGGAGCUCUGGAAUAAUACCACUAGUUCCUACAAAAAUUGGCACAAGUUAAUAAAAUGAUUUAAUAUUAUUAUUAAAUCAAAACAAAUAUCAGAAAAAUAGAAAAGAAAAAGAAAUGGAAAACCUACCUGGACUUACCUGCAGCCCCUGUGCAGCCCAGCGGCCUAGCAGGCCAGCCCAGCCAGCAGGCGGCCCAGCCCAACUGACAGGAGCUUCUUCAAGCUCCUGCCAGUAGGAGCAGCUGCGUGGCCGGCAUGCCGCAGCCGCGCCACCACCUCCUCCAUGCCUGCCUGUCCUCCCCCUCGUCGCUCUGGAUGGCCCGGACGACGCCACGCGACGCCUCGCACCUCUCUCCCUCUCUCUCAUUCCUCCCCCUCCCCUGGUUUCUCUCCCACGCGCACGGCCGAACACCAUCGUCGCCGCUGCUCGCCGUUACCGUAGCCACCGCCUCUCCCUCGCCUCUCCGACCAGCUCAGAAGCUCCGCCACGUCGCCGCCCACCUCUCCAUCGAGCCACGCGACGCGGGAAGCCCUGGAGAGCCGCCAUCCCCGCCGUCUUCGUCUCCGGUCACCGGAGAUCGUCCUCGCCGCCCUGCCGACUCCAGCCGUCCCCGCUGUGAGCUGCCGCUCCUCCUUCCCCUCUCCGUUCUCCUCCUCGCACGCCGUAGCGACUGCACCUAGCUCGACCGCACCCGCCGCCGCCUGCGCUCGCCGCCGACGCGCCUCCGGCGACCUUUUGGUCCACCGGGCGUGUCCCUCGCCCACGCCGCAUCGCGCACGCACACACCGGCACUCCAACUCUCCCGCACACGCACCACAGCGUAGUUCGCGCCUCACCCGAGCUCUGGCCGCCGCGGCCGAGCUCCUCGCUGUCGCCUCCGGCCACCUCAGGCCCGGCUGGCACCACCGCCUGACGUGCGCUGGUCUGGGCUCUCGAACGAGCCCAGCCACGCUGCGAAAGGGGCACCGUAGCCCGUUUCCGCGGUGCUCCGCCGUUUCGGGCCUCCCCGGCGGCUUAACGCCGGUGGGGUUGACCGCCUUGACCGCGCCGGCCUGUCAGGUGGGUCCGGCUAAUCACCACCUAAUCUAACCCCCCUGACACUGACAGUGGGCCCCGAUGCCCUAAUCUUUUAAUUAGGCUUAAACUAACCCUGUUUAACCCUGAGUCACUGACGUGUGGACCCCACUGGUCAGGUUUGACCUGGUCAGCCGCAGUUGACUCGCUGACGUCACAGUGACGCAGUGCUGAUGCAGUUAAUUCUUUUCUGGAUUUAAAAUUAAUCAGGAAAUUCCAGAAAUGAUUCAAACUUCAAAAAAUCAUAGAAAUUCAACCGUAACUCAGAUUGAAAUAAUUUAUAUAUGAAAAAUUAUCAGAAAAAUGCAAUCUAUCCAUCUGUACUAGUUUCAUGCAUGACAAACCAACUUAUACCUACUGUAUAAGUGAAACACUAAAAUGGCAUUUAUAAAGGGCCUAACUUGGAGUUGCAUUUGAAUUCUUGGUUCAGAUGGACUUCAACCAAAUGAAUGCUAACAGCAUUAGCACAAACAGCAUCACAUCUUCAUGCCAUGUUCAUGCAUCAUAUUGUUGCAUAUGCUUGUGUAUUGAUUGUCAACACCGUUCCUUCUCGAUAGGUCCUGCUCCGGAGAGCGUUCCAGAGUACCUGUCUGAGGAGUAGUGCCUUCCUUGUUGAUCUACCAGGCAAGCAAACCCCCUUGUUCAUUCCGAUACAAUCCUACUCUCUCGCUCCUACUUUCAGUUAUUGCAUUAGGACAACAACGAUUCAUCUGCUACUUUGUGCUGCGGUAGUUGAACCCAUUCCUCUGCAUGACCUGUCAUUGCCACAGUAAAUAGUUGAAACCCACUAGCAUGUGUAGGAGUUGAUUGAGCCAUGUUGUGUUCCUACCAUGCUAUGCCUGCUAUUGCUUAGAGUUGUGUCAGGUCUGAUUCAUUGGGAAUGAAUUGGAGUGUUACGAUAUGUUCUGAUGCUGAGAGUUAAGUCUAUGAACACGAUUUGGUAAAGGUAGCGGUGAGAGGCCAUGUAGGAGUACAUGGUGGGUUGUCUCACUGGAACCGUCCUUAAGCACUGAGUUCUAUGUAUGUUGUCCAAUGACUCGAUACUACCACACAUUGGGUUCCGGUAACUCGGCCCCUCUCGACUUAUUAACCAACUUGGUCUCUGUCCAGGAGUCGCAACUAGUUUCUGGUGUUUGUAGGUAGUGUUAGUAGUCUACCAAGUGGCACCCGACCAGGUGGGCUUGGGACAGACUAGGCACAGUGGCACGGUGUACCAAGUGGCACCCGGAUGGUGGGCUUGGGAACCCUGCUCACAUCGUUUGGGGCCGUGAGCGACACCCCGGCCGGAUCUCCUUGCGGAUGGAACCCGAAUAGGCGAUAAACCUGGACUAGAGUCUUGUGUGGUUAGUCAGGUCGUGGCCGACUCCCUCGCCAGGCUUCCGCUUGAAGGUUGCCGAGAUACAUGACGUGUACAUGGCGGUAAAUGGCGAGAGCGUGUGUGAAGAAGUACACCCCUGCAGGGUUAACAUGAUCUAUUCGAAUAGCCGGGUCCGCGGUUAUGGACUUCUUGGAUGCUUACAUGGUACAUAGACAACUUGAAGUGGAUACUCUAAAAUGCUCAAGACAAGUGUGAGUGCUAUGGAUGGCUUACCCGUAGGGAGACGGGGAUGAAUCCAUAGUAGUGUAUUGUGUGGUGAUUAGUGGACUCGUGUACGUUGUCUCACCUCAAGAAGUUUUUCGUAGUCGUAGAACAGGAUAGCCACUGAGUCAAAGCUGGCGUGUUGCAACUAAACCCCACAUUACCCUCUUGAUACAAAUGCAUGUAUGAUAGGAUCUGAUGUAAGUCUUGCUGAGUACCUUUGUACUCAUGUUGCUUUAUUUAUGUUUUUGCAGCGGAGACUUUGGUCUUACUAGUGUCUUUGUGGACUUCGACAAGUAGCCUGUACCUCAGCUACGAUCUUGACUGGAUGAUGUAGAUAGUCAGGCUCUUCAGCCUUUUUCAUUUGUAGAUGUUUGUACUCAGACAUGUAAUGCUUCCGCCUGUUGCUUGUUUGCUCUAAAUGUUGGGUCACGUGACCCCUGUUUGUAAUAAAUGCUAUGAUGGCUCUUCUGAGCCUUUAUCUAUAUGAGUUGUUGAGUUAUGCUGUGAUGCCAUGUUGUACAGCACAUACUUGCAUGUUAUGCGUACGUGUAAUGUGUAUUGCUAUGUGUGGGAUCUGACUAUCUAAUUAUUUAUCCUUAGUAGCCUCUCUUACCGGGAAAUGUCUCCUAGUGCUUCCACUGAGCCCUGGUAGCUUGCUACUGCUCCGGAACACUUAGGCUGGCCGGCAUGUGUCCUUCUUCGUUCCUGUGUCUGUCCCUUCGGGGAAAUGUCACGCGGUGUCCAUCGGAGUCCUGUUAGCCUGCUACAGCCCGAUUUACCGGAGUCCUGCUAGCCCAGUUGCUACAGCCCGGAUUCACUCGUUGAUGACCGACACGUUCGAUGCUGGGUCAUGUAUGCCUGUCCCUGUAAGUUAGUGCCACUUCGGGUUCACGACUAGCCAUGUCAGCCCGGGUUCUUGGCAUAUGGAUGCUAGCGACACUAUCAUAUACGUGUGCCAAAAGGCGCAAACGGUCCCGGGCAUGGUAAGGAGACACCCGUGGGAAUACCGUGCGUGAGGCCACAAAGUGAUAUGAGGUGUUACAUGCUAGA